AUGGAUAAAUUCACUUAUUUUUCACAAUUCUUCUGGUCCCUCUUGACUUUCUAUAUCUAUAUUCUCUGGCUCAACAAACCUUUAUUUCUAUUAUUUUACUAAUAGAAGCCUUCGCCUCUUUUUGCUCCUUUUUCAAUAUCUUAUUAUGACCCUGUUUGUAAUAAGAUAUUCUAUUCUACUUUUGGGGAAUCUGCUCCAACUAGUGGAUUCCCUCUUUUUAUUCAUGAUUCCACAGGGCCAGGGGGGGCUCGCUCCCUAUGUUGUCCUGCCGAUGAAUCCGGGUGAACCUGCACCAGCACCUGCACCCGGAGAGCCCGUCAUCCCCCCGCUUCCAAAUCCUCCACCCCUAAUUCCCGAUCCCGAUAUGGUUCGUCUGAGAGAGUUAGAGGAUCGCCUCUCAAUCAAUUGAAUUGGAAAAAAUAUCACCAUGGAGGCGCAGAAUAAGAUCCUCGCAUACCAAAUGGGGAUAGAAAUGAGGGUUGAAGACGCUUUAGUUCAGGAUGACGUUUUACGCCCUUCCACUUUUUUUUCCCCACAUACGGGGCUUUCUUUUCUAUCCACGGGGGACUGCUCUCUCCGAAAAUACCUAUCCAAAUUUGAUUAACACUAUCGACAACGAUGGUAUUCGCGAGUGUGCUCCAUACAAGCGGGUUCUCCAAGCAAUAAGGGAAAAGAAUCUAGUCCUCUAAGGGGGGAGGGGGAGACUUGUAUUUCUCAUUCACAAAUCCAUCUUUCUUUAUGCUGCUAACUCUCAGUUUGGUCCUACUUCUGGUUCAUUUUGUUACUAAAAAGGGAGGAGGUCUUGCAGAGCCUAAUGCUUGCCAAUCCAAUUUCCUGAAAUCCCUACGGACAUUGAUAUUUUUGCCGAAUCGGGGGGAACAGCGGAGGGGGGCCAUAAAAAACAUAUACGAAGAUACAUAUGGUCCCAUGAGGCAAACAAAUCAGGAUAUUGUUAAUAUUUCUGACAUCAGCCGCGACCUUGCGUUGAAGGGACCAAACAGUGAGUUUUUCAAGGAAACUCUCAAAGGAAGUACAAGGAAAAAAAGAAACGAGUUUCCUUUCCCACGUAGUUCGUCGGUAAAACCAACGAUUCUCUUCUCAAAGUAAGAGAGAGAUCCUUUUCUAGUUAGACUUCUUUCUAUCAAUGCAAUGAAAGAACCAUCCCUUCCCUAUUUCUUUGUCCUGUCAGAUAGAAAGAAAAUGUGACCCCAAAGAGCCCUUCUUUACCACUUUAGGGGAUGGGGGUGAAGGGGGGUUUACAUACAACCGAGGCAAAGUGGUUUAUGAUUGAAUCUCAGAGGCAUUCUUAUCAUUUGGUAGAUCCAAGUCCAUGGCCUAUUUCGGGUUCACUCGGAGCUUUGGCAACCACCGUAGGAGGUGUGAUGUACAUGCACUCAUUUCAAGGGGGUGCAAGACUUCUCAGUUUGGGCCUCAUAUUUAUCCUAUAUACCAUGUUCGUAUGGUGGCGCGAUGUUCUACGUGAAUCCACGUUGGAAGGACAUCAUACCAAAGUCGUACAAUUAGGACUUCGAUAUGGUUUUAUUCUGUUUAUCGUAUCGGAGGUUAUGUUCUUUUUUGCUUUUUUUUGGGCUUCUUCUCAUUCUUCUUUGGCACCUACGGUAGAGAUUGGAGGUAUUUGGCCCCCAAAAGGGAUUGGGGUUUUAGAUCCUUGGGAAAUCCCUUUUCUUAAUACCCCUAUUCUCCUUUCAUCCGGAGCUGCCGUAACUUGGGCUCAUCAUGCUAUACUCGCGGGGAAGGAAAAACGAGCAGUUUAUGCUUUAGUAGCUACCGUUUUUCUGGCUCUAGUAUUCACUGGAUUUCAAGGAAUGGAAUAUUAUCAAGCACCUUUCACUAUUUCGGAUAGUAUUUAUGGUUCUACCUUUUUCUUAGCAACUGGCUUUCAUGGUUUUCAUGUGAUUAUAGGUACUCUUUUCUUGAUCAUAUGUGGUAUUCGCCAAUAUCUUGGUCAUCUGACUAAAGAGCAUCACGUUGGCUUUGAAGCAGCUGCAUGGUACUGGCAUUUUGUAGACGUGGUUCGGUUAUUCCCAUUUGUCUCUAUCUAUUGGUGGGGAGGUAUAUGAAGGAACGAAACGGUGGAUUAAAAAAUGAAAGCUCGAAGACAAAGAGAAUCGGGCUUUUCCAAAGAAUUACUGCUGCUUUCCCACUCCCUUUGAUUAUCAUAUACAAAAAAGUCUCUUCCACUUUCCUACCAAAUCUCUUUUUAUUCUGGCACAUAAAUGAAGGGAUCGAAGAGAUUUUGGCAGAUCAUGUUCACCAAGAAAUGACCCGAAAUUUGAUCUUGGUCUAUUUGAGAUUGUUCUUUUUAAUCGUAAUCAAAGAUGUUUUCUUGUCUCUCGUUUCUUUUCCGAACAAAUCGAAGAACCUAAUGGAUCGAACUCAUCCUUGGCUGCUACGAAACAUAUCGCUGGAGCAAAAGAAUCUCUUGUGCCUAGAGCAGUUUCUGUGGUUCCUCUAGCGAAAGUGUCUACUGGUCCUGUAAAAGAACUGAUAUUCCUUCGAGUAGCCACUGUAGCUGGUGCCGGAGAAGCUAUUGUGUCUAUUGUAGCUGAUGUUGCUAACGUUGCAGAACUUCUAUCCUAUUUAACGGAAUCCUUUACUGCGGGAACUAUCAUACCAAUGGACGAUACCAGAGAAAGAAAAGGAAAUAGGUCUAACAACGCUUCGUUCGCAAGACAGUUUGUCCACCCUAUAUCUUCCUAAGACCCGCCCUUUUUACUAGGGAUCACCGGAUCACAUGCCCUAGCUAGAUUCCUAACAGCUUCCCCUUUUUGCAUAGGAAAGAAUUGGGCUUCGAUAGCACAACUGGUGCGCAUAACUGAUACCUGCCUCGGAGAAAGGGACCGAAAUAUUCUAAAUUCUUUCCCCGAGGGGGCUAACUAGAUAGAUGGUGGGUCUAAGGAAGAGAAGAAUAUGAAUUUUCAUCCCCUUUCCGUUCCUUUCCUUAUCCUUAGAACAGUAGGGUUUGAAGCUGGCAAAGUCAAUCAAUCCAGCAGUCAAAGGGGCAAGUGCAGUCACUCAACCAACGCCUUUCAAGCAAUCUCUUAAGUAGGGGAAAGGCUCUUAGGCAGCAAUAGAAAUAACUCUUACAACCUGUCUCAAUCUUUACCUCUCCAAGACCUCUUCUUCUAAAACUAUAUAUGUUUUAUCUCCGGGGAGUUUUCAAGCCAAUCUAGAAGUCUCUUUCCUUUAAAACCUUGUUGUUCCAAUUCCAGUUAAGCUAGCAUAAUUUCUAGUCAAGCAUAAGAGUAAGGGUAAGCCCUGUAAGCCAAUAUGGAUGUCCUUCUUUCUCUUAUCUUAUAGAAUAGGCUUUCCCCAUAUAUUGUUUAGUGCGUGUGUAUCUAGUACUAGUAGCAGGCCUAGUGGCUAUCAUCUUUCCUGCAGUCCUAAGCAAAAUGCCUUUCACGGGUAGUUUUUAGGCUUCAAGCCAUUAAAGGGAAGUGGGUAUAGAAUUAGAAUCAAGAGAAGGUGGUUUUUCCACUUCGUUCAGUUAAGUUAACAGGUCUAGCUUCAAUCUAUAAGCCUAAUUGGCCUUGUCCCACGGGAUUCACAUGAAUGUGAAACCGUUGCAACCGAUCCUUCAUACCAAUCAUCCGCCGCUCACAGUAAUGGCACUAAGCCAUGGGUUCUAUGGAUUCUGGAAAAAGACAUAGCAAGAAGGUGUAUAGGCCUCGAGGAGAGAACAUGUUUAAGCAAAAUAAGCCGCUAUUAGGUCAAUGUUGUUAGUAGUGUCACCGGUCAAUCCCUGGGACACUCGCGAGUCCGUCCUUAAAAGCCCUAAAAAUUGGGUCCAUGAAGCCUUAGCUUAGAUACUGAAAUCUGUAUUGUCCUUGAACCUAGACCAUGGAAAUCGGGUGUUAGCCCCAUUCCAUUAGUGAGAUCCAUAGCCUACGGGGAUUUCCCAAGCCAGUCAAAGAAGAAGGUUGUCGAGCUGUAGUUCGAUACCGUCUUUCAGAUAGGUCCGAAGACAAUCUAUCUAUCUUUCCUUCUUGACUCACAAAAACAGGGGAUAUGAUAUAACCGAUAUAUUUUUUUAUAUUCCAUACACCAGGGAAAGAGAAAGAGAAAAGAAAUUUCGAGAAGAAGUUGAGAGAGGUUUUCAACUUCAGCCAAAGAUAGUUGAAAUUUCUGAAAGUAUUUGAUUUCAUGAUAUCUAAGCCUUAAAAUAUUUUUAUGGUUUACCUAAUAAUUUAAUUAUUGAAAAUUAAGCUUAAAAUUAUUCAAAUAGUUUGAUAGCAAUUUAAGAUAAUUUUCUUAUCUCAAGAGUAUUUAUGAAAACUAAUGUCAUACUCUGAAGAGGCUCCAUUUUCGGAUUCCAUUAAUUUUUGUGACAAAAAAAACUUUUAUUUGUGAUAACCAAUCAAAAUCUAAUUUUUUUAUAAAAAAUAAUUAUUUUCAAAAAUAUCCUCCAAUAUAUUGAUAAAAUUUUCUUUAAAAAAUUAUCCUUCAAUAUGUUGGUAGAAUUUUAUGAAAACUAUUUUUCUUUUUACUUUAAGAGAAAAUAAACAAUUAAAAUAAACAAAAAUUAUCAUGCAAAUAAUGUAAUAAUAAAAAUAUCAUGCAAUAAUAUAAUAUAUCAUACAACAAAUCAUGCAAUAAAAUAUCUAGCAAAAUAUAAAAUAUCAUGCAGAUAUUAAUUAAUCAUGCAAAGGUAAGUCAUACAAAAUCAUACAAUCAAAUAUAAUCACACAAACAAAUAUAUUAAUAAUCAUGUAAUCAAAUUAAAUAUAAUAAUACAAAUGAAUAUAUAAUCAUAUCAUGCAAUAGAUAUACAAUCACAUCAUGCAAAAUAUAUAUUAUAAUUAAUGUUAAAAUUCUUUUUUAAAUUAAUUCAAUUACAAUUAAAAUAAAAAAUAGUAAAAAAAUAUAAUUAUAAAAAAUAAAAAAAUAAAACAAAAAAUAGAAAAAGAAAAAUAAAAAAAAGAAAAAAAGAAAAGAAAAACCUUCUGAUCGAGUCGGAUCCUAAGUGAGUAAGCUUGUCGGUUGUUGGUGGGUCAACUAGAUUCAUGCGAGUCAAAGCCUUCUCCAAAACAUUGUCAUUCUAACAUUGUAUAAAAGCAAAAAAAAUCAGCUAACCCUCAUAUGGCUUUUCUCUUCUCUUUCUCUCUCUAAAAAAAAUUCUCUUUACUUUUUCUCUAAAAACCCAAACGAAAAAUUCAAUCGACAACCUAAACCUAGAUUUUGACAUUGUGAAAUUCAAAUGGCCAUUGAAAAAUUCAAUCAACCCAGAAACCAUUGUAAAUCCUAGAACUCAUCCACCAUGAGUUCCACUAGCCAUCGUAAAAUUAACUAAAAAAUUCAAACCAUCAUCGAAAUAUUCAUGCUCAACCUAGAAAAACCCAGCAAAACUUAAAAUUCCUAAAAUUUAACCUAAACCUAAAAAAAUAAAAAAUUUCCCCAAAAAUUAAAAAAAAAAAACCAUAGAAUCAUACCAAAUCAAUAUCCACUGCAAAAAUUCCAAAAACCAAAGCAAAUAAUCCUAAAACUUGCAAAGAGCACCCAUGAUCAAAACAAGAACUCAAAAGACCCAAAAUUUUUUUCCAAACUUCCAGAAACCUAAAAAGUUUUAAAUGUUUUUCUUGAUUGCCUUUUACUUGCCCAUGAUUGUUUUAUGUAUAUGCUUUCCCAUGAAUAAUUUUUCUGUUUGUCUGUUUAUAGGGAUUGAAUCCCUUGAAUUUGGAAAUCUAUUCAAUCAGAUCUAGGAUUUAAUGGUGAUUUGAUUUGAUUAAUUAAGCCUAAACUUUCCAUAAACGCUUUGAUCAUUAAGCCCCAUGAAUAGGAUCCAAAUCUUGGUGAAAAAUAUCGCAUUUCUGUUUUUGGGUUUUUUUAUUUUUUUGUGGCUUUAUGAUUUUGACUUUUUUUACCAAAAUAAACCAUUAAAAUCAAAACUAAAUUAAAAAAAUCUAAAUUAAAAUCAAAAUCAAGAAUGAAAUUACAAUUAAAAAUUUUGGGCUUUUAUCCUAUUAGACCCAAAGUUUCUAAUCGCACCCAAUUCAGAAUCGAAGGCCCAUUUCAAUUUUCAAGAAAAUUUGGGACAAAAUGGGUGUUUAUAGUGAUAAAAUAAGAUUUUUGAAAAAAAAGAUUUUUUAGAGAUAAAAGCUAAUAUUGCUAUGUAAAAAUAAUCUUUGAGACAUUGCGUAGAUAUUGGAAGGCUUCUCAAUAAUUAUUUUUUAUGAAAGAAUAUUAAGUUGGAUUUUAAGGAAUAUUAUGAGAAUUUUAAGUGGAGGAAAUUUUUCAUAAUUUCGCUUAGAUAUUGGAAAAUUUAAAAAAUGUUUAAAAACUAAAGAUUUUCCAUUUUAUUCCUAAAAAAAAUUUAAAUAUGCAUUAGAUGAAUUUAAUUGAGUAUUUGCUUUUAGUUUACAUUCCUAUCAUACAUCUGCUCUAAACAAUACUUGCCUACAUUUUAGUGUUUAAAAAAAAAACUAACAAAUUGUUGGUUUUUGGAAGAGUAGUUUUUUUUUUUAAAAAAAAAACUAAUAUUUCUAAGUAAAACAAAAUUUGGGACCCUGUUUAGGUAUUAGAGGGUUUCUUAAUAAUUGUCUUUAUAAAGGAAUAUUAUGUGGAGUUUUUGAGGGAUUAGUAUGAAAAUCCUAAGUAAAGAAAUAUUCUUCAAAAUUCUACCUAGAUAUUGGAGAAUUAGAAAGUGUUUUGAUAGUAAAGAUUUUCAUUAUAUUCCUGAAUAAAAAGUUUUGCAAAAAAAUAAAAAAGAAAAGAUUUUUUUCAAGAAAAAUAAAAUUUGAGGGAAUCAUUUUUAAAUAUUAGAACUAAGACCAUUUUUUUCAAUAAUUAGGUUAACAUAUGAUCAAUUGGUAUUAUUUUUUAAUAGGCGCUGUGAGGGUGCUAAUCUUUCCCCAUGCAUAACCGACUCCUGAAUUCAACUAUUUUCAUAAACCAAAAUAUCUUUUUUAUUAAACUCUAAACUCAUUUUAUUGUUUUAUUAAACAAUAUAAAAUUUUAGGUGACCAAUUAAACCUAACAAAAAAGAUUGGUGGUGACUCCUUCUAUUUUGAAACUUUUAAAAUUUUUUGUCUAGCGAUUACCAAAAAUUGUUAUGACAUCUUGUGAUUCCACUGGGGAUGUUUUUUUAGAAAGUCAAGCCAAAAUUUCAUAUGUUAUCUUAAGUUUUGAUUUAAUGCUCUUCAUUAAUAUUUAACUUUGAUUCCUUUAAUUUUGAUUUUCUUAAAAAUAUGUUCUGCAUUGCAUUUGUAUUUUGAUCAUGUCAUUUAUUUUAUAUUUCUUAUUAUGUUUUUAGAUAUUGUUUUUAAUACAUGCUGGGCAUUUAGGAUAAGGAUUGUAAUGUUAUAAGGUGUUGACAUGUUUCUCCUUAAACACUUACAUGUGCAUUGCAUGUAUAUGCUCUAUACCCUAGUUUUAACCCUUUUAUGAGGGAGUGAAGUACUCAUGCUCUUGUGAGGUGAACACCUUUACAAUAGCUAGCAAAACAAUCCCAUUUAGAUUAAACCUUUGUCAUUUAUAACCUAUGAUGGAUGAGGAUCGGGGUGCCUUGCUUGUUUAUAAUAAAUGAUGAUGCAAGGAACAAUUUAGAGACUUUUAGACAUAUAAAUCCUUACCCAGCAUAUAGCGAACCUUGGGGGACCAAAAUUAGGUACAACCAUGUUGACCUCGUUGUAGAAAUUGCUUUAAUUAGGACACAUGAAGAACAUUUUGGUACAAUUUGUAUUAAGAGGUAAUAAUAAUGCAAAUAAAAUUAAACUUUGGAAAUAAAAGAAAAACAUUCUUUCAAUAAAUUUUCUUUUGACAUGCAGUUCGAUUCAUUUGGUGUUUAUCCGAAAUUUGAACCUUCAAAAAAACUUUUUAAAAAAAAAAGGUUUUUGUUAAUUUCUUUGUUUAUUGAUUGAAUAAAAGUUGAAGCAUGAAAAAAAAAAAGGAAAACUAUUUUGAAUGUUAGUCAACUUAUACACUUGUUUUUUUAAAAAAAUGUUUGUUGAAUUUUUAUUUCUUUUUACAAAAAAGAAAAGAAAACAAAAGAAAAUUUCAACUUUGAGUGUCAUUUUACUUUUUGCAUAUUAUUUGAUCUUUUUUACAGUCAUUUUCAUCAUUUUUUUUAUAUUUGAAAAUAAUAAGGUUGUACAUAUAUUUCAUUUCAGGCACAUUUUCAUCAUGUUUCAUCAUGCCAGUACAUUUCAUAUAAGUAUGUUUCAUCAUUUACUAUACAUGCAUUUCAUUAAUGAUAAAGUUUGUCAUUAUUUUUCAUACUUAGGGAUUCACAGUUGAUAUGAGUUUGACAAAACUUGCAUUAUACAAAUUGCAUUUAAGGUGAAUCCACCCCAUCACUAUAUAACAUCACAUUACAUUUCCUGCAUACACAUUUAUAGGUGACACAAUUUUUGUUAAGUAUAGUACAUAUGUAAAUAUUCAUAUUUCGAGCAUAUAGUCACAACAACAUUUUGCACCAUUUAUGCAUCCAUGAUCAAGUCAUGUACAUCUAGGCGAUAUUCAAAAAUUUAAUUAAUUUACUUGCAUUACAUUAACACAUAUGAUUUUUGCAAGGUAAAAUUAAAAUUAUGAUCUUAAUUAUUUAAUAUACAAUGAUGAUAGUAUUUAUUUAUUUAUUUCAUUAUCAAUAAUUUAAAAUAAUUAAAUGUUUAUCUAUAUAAAAAAUGUAUGCAAAAAUGACUAAAUAACUAAUGAGUGAAUUAAAUUUACCUAAAUUGGAUUUAAAUCCAAUAUGAUCCACAACAAAAGAGGAGCCCAAUUUGAUGGAUUUCUAUUAGGCUUGGAUUAGACCAGGUACGCCAGGUCAGGUGAGUGAGUUGGGGUCGAGGUUAGUUUAGGUCAUUAGUCAGGUCGUAGGUGUUGAACCGGUGGGCAUAAGUUGAGUCACUAGGUCAACUGGCUGGAUCAGGUCAUGAAUUAACCCGAUUCUCCUUUACUCUUUUUUUUAGGCGCUAACUAUAAAACCUUAAAAUUUUUUUUCUAUUCAUUUCUUAUCUUUCAUUAAAAAAAAUUCUCUUCUCCUAUAAACGAAACCUUAAAAACAAAUCUUGGUUAUAGUUACAGUCGCCUCUAAGCCUUCUUUUUAUUUUUUUGUCUUUUUUUCCUUGUCCAUGACACAGAGUUACCUCCUUGAAAAAAGGACUGUGGUUAUUUGCUUUAGUGUUUUUUUUCUUUUCUUGAUUUUUAUGGAAAGAAGUAAAAAAUGAUAAUUUUUUUUUGUGAUUUUUAGUUGAAUAAGAGGGAUUUUUUUUUGUUUUACGGUUGAUUUUUAUGUUUUUUAGGGUCUUGAAUCAAAGGCUAUUUGCAAAGGUUUUGGAUGAUUUUUGAAAGAAAAAAAGGCAGGAUUUUUUUGGGUUUUUAAUACUAACAGAAUUGGUUUCUGGUGAUUAUUGGUGUAUAGGUUGUUAUGGAGGCUUUUAAGGUUGGUUAAAGGCCAUUUGGUGCUUCAAGGGGUUACUGUAGAGGGGCUUAAAGGCAUAGGGAAAGGCUCUACUAGGGAUUUGCAUAGCAAGGGGUUAUGCUAGGGAAUAGGAUUGAUGGUGCCUGGGUGUUGAGCAAAGACAUGCACCUAGACUAAGGUUGGUGAUAGAGGUGCUUAGGAAUGGGGCUGUUAAAAAGGGGUAGGGGACUGGGGCUAGGCUGGUGUUCGGUUGGGUGGUUUGGUGAAAAGGGUUUGGGUUUAAAGGAAUAGGUGCUCAAGGCUGGUAGGGUGAGGAAUGGUGUUCGAUGUUUGAAAACAAGGAUAAUAUGGGUGCUUGAGGACUGGAUAUGGAGCUGGAUGUUGGGUUCUGUAGUGGGGCUUAUGUGGUAGGUGGAAAUGGUUGAAGGGUUAUGGCUUUGUCCAGGGAAAGGUGUAGGAACCUUGUAUGGGUUCUGGGUAUUAGAGAUAUGAGCUAGAGGGUGAAAAAUGGUGUUCGACUUCCUUCCCUUAUGGUGUUGGGGUCUCUUGGUUUUUAAUCUAUCAAAUUUUUUGUUGUUUUGUAGGAAGAAACAACUUUGGCCACUUAUGGCAUGGAGUAGGCAGGGAUUAGGGAGUGUGUGGUGCUAGCUUGGUGCGUAGGGGCAGUGGUUGGUGCAUUGUGCGAAGCCCUAGGCAUUUGGCUUAUUAUGGCAGUAGCUGCCAGCUACUUUGUUUGCUAUUUUUUUCUUUCCUUUUUUGUAAUUUAAUUUCUUUUUUGUGUAAUUUAAUUUUUGUAAUUAAUUAAUUUUUAUUUUAUAUAUUUUUUGAUUAAUUAUAGUAAUAAUUAUUUGAUUAAUUAAUUAUUUCUUCAUAUAUAUAUUUUUGUCAAAUUUCCAAUUAAUUAAACUAAUACUAAAUAAUAAUAAUGAUGAUGAUGAUGAUGAUGAUGAUGAUGAUAAUAAUAAUAGUAACAAUAAAAUAAGAUUAAAAAUAAUUAGUUCCAAACAAGUUCAAAUCAAUCUGAUUUAACGCUUAAACCAGCUCAAAAAGCAUGCAAAUUGAGCUAAAAAAUUCACUUAAACUAGCUCAAAUAAAAUAAAAAAAAAAGAACAAAUUUGAAUUAACCUAGACAAAAUUAAGUGUCUACAACUGCCUUCUUUGUACAUUUCUGAGAAUCAGGAAUAAGGCAAAGGCAUAGACAAUAAUUUUGUUUGGAGUUAACGGUACAAAGUUUUUCAUAAGUUUUUCCUUUUUUUUUUCUUCUUCUUUUUAUGUUAAUUUUUAGUUUUUUUGUUGUUUUUGUUGUUUUUUUAUUUAACUAAUAAGCUUUAUAAUUUGAAAGCAAAUUUAAAAACUCUUUUAAAUGAAAACUUAAUAACUUUUAAAAAUAAAAUAAGAGAUCAUGCCCAUAAUCUUACAAAUCUCAAAAUUAAAACAAAUUCAGUUUGAAAAACUUACGAAUUCUACUAGGAAGACUUAAACAUUAUGCCUGGAGGUCUUAAAGAUUUCAAAAUCUUUGAAUGCUUUCCAAACAUUAGAGGCAUUGAAACUUUGAAAUUUUAAAAUAUUUUACUUGGAGGUCUUAAGGAUUGUGCCUGAAGGUUUUGGAGAUUAUGCUUAGAGGUCUUAAGGAUUAUGCAUGGAAGUCUUAAAGAUUAUGCCUGAAAAUUUUACACAUCUCAAAAUCUUUGAAUUCUCCUCAUAAUAGAGGCAUUGAAACUUUAAAAAUUUAAAAUGUUUUGCUCGAAGGUCUUAGAGAUUAUGCCCGAAGGUCAUAGAGAUUUCAAAAUUUUUGAAUGCUCUUUAUACAUUAGAGGUAUUGAAACUUUAAAAUUUUAAAAUAUUUUAACUAGAGUUUUUAAAGAUUGUGUCCGAAGGUUUUAGAGAUUAUGAUCGAAGGUUUUAUAAAUCUCAAAAUCUUUGAAUGCUCCUCAUAAUAGAGGUAUUGAAACUUUAAAUUUUUAAAAUAUUUUUCUUGGAGGUCUUAGGGAUUGUACCCAGAGGUCUUAGAAAUUUGUUUGGGUGCUUGCUUUACUAGAGUCAAGUCUUAUCUUGUAUCAUAUUCAUUUUUCUCAACAACCCCUCUGCUUUUUGUAGAUCAAUUUUCUUUCAACUUUUCAAACCCUUAUUGACAUUUUGGUAUCUUGUCAAUCUAUUUUUUUCUCAUCUUUUCAUGAUAAACUUUUUUCUCUCUUUUUUUUUUUGCCUUUUUUUCUUUUCUUUGUUUUCUAAUAUUUACACUGUCUAUUUCCAUCAAAUGAUGUGAAUGCAAAUGUCGAUGUGAAUGCAAAUAUUAAUGUGAAUGCAAAUAUUAAUGCGAAUGCAAGAAUGUGAAUGCUUUGGUUAGGAUGCACAUACAAGUGCAAAUGUAAGUGAUACAAAUGCAAAUAUCUUUCUUGUUUUUGCAGUAUGUAGAUCAAAUAUCUUUUACAAGUGAUGCGAAUGCAAAUAUUCUUUUGUUUUUGCAACAUGCAGGCCGGAUAUCUUUUUAAUGAUGCACAUAUAAUUAAUGCAAGUACGAUUUUUUUUAGCAUGCAAGUCAAAUGUCUUUUGUAAGUGAUGCCCUUACAAAGACUCUUUUUGUUUCUUGUUUGAAAUAUCUUUGUUCAAGUUUUCAAUGUCCACUAUUCACCAACAAUGAUCUCAGUAUUCUAUACAAAAUGCUCAAAUAAUCUCUGAACUUUUUAAAAGUGAUCACAAAAUUGCCACAUAAAAAGUAUCUUUGUAAUCAAUGAGAAAAGUUGAAAAACACAUAAUUUUCAAAUCUUUUGCAGAUUGAUGAUUACUAUUUGGAAUGCUUAUGGAUGGGGUGAUUGACAAUUCAAUUUUUUUCAUUAAUGGGCAUAUUUCAAGGAAGGCUCAAUGGGGGUUGCACAGAUUACUCUUGAGCUCAUAAAAGAGAUCAUUUUUCUAAAACACUUUUCUUUUAUUAAAAGCAUGAUACUUCAAUGUGUGUCAGAAUUAAUCAUUAUUUUUCACUCUUUGGUAAAAUGAAAAGUCGUUAAUGGGUAUUGAUCCUUUAAAAGGUUUUGCAUCAUGACUUUUUAUUUUGGAUAGAACCUUGGAACUCUAAAAUUCUUUUAAGGCUUUAAAAGUGGCUUUAGCUCUAAACUACCAUUUUUGGGUUUUCAUCUUAGAGCUAUAUUUUCUAACAAUGAAGAACUUGGCAAAAUCUUACCAAAUAAUAGGUAUAUACAAAUUUUCAAGGACAUAACUCUUCAAUCAAGUGUCCAUAUUUGAUCAAAAUAGACUUUUCAAGGUAUGUAAUAUAAGUCAAGGUUUAAGGUUCUUAAAGAAUGGAUAAAUAGGCUCAAAAUUUAUUAUUUAGGUUAAUUAGGCCAAAGAUCUUUUAGAGCAUUCUCUGGAAGCAAAGCCAUGUAUCUUUCUCUUUUUGCUUUUUUUUUUUUAGAAACAUCUGAUUUUAACUUCAGCAUUCUUCUUUCUUGAAUUUCAUCUUCUUUUUACUUGAGAUUCUAACUAUCGUUUCAUUCACUUUUUGCCCCAAGCUCUCAUCUUCGAUGAGCAUGUCUUCCUUUCUUCGCUUUUGUUUUGUUUUUUGGUUUUUUUUUUUUUUGAAAACAAAACUUCAACUUCAACAUUCUUUUUUCUAGAAGUUUUACUUAGGAUUCUAAUUGAAACUUUAUUCACUUUUUACCCUAAAUUCUCAUCUCUGAGGUACAUAUCUUUCUUUUCUUUGCUCCAUUUUUUUUAUUCUAACUAAAACUUCAUUCACUUUUUGCUUUAAAUUCUCAUAUCUAAAGUACAUGUCUUUCUUUUCUUUACUCUUUUUUUCUGUUUUCUUUUUUUUUUUUUUCUUUUUUUUCCUUUCACUUUUGGAAAACAUUUGAUUUCAACUUUAGCAUUCUUCUUUCUUGAAUUCUAGGGAUUCUAACUGAAACUUUUUUCACUUUUUAUCUUAGGCUCUUAUCUCCGUAAUGAAUGUUAGGUGCUCUUAAUAUCAAACACUUUCCUUGAAGUUGAUCCCUUGAAGCUAUCCUUAUUUUACCCCUAGUGUAAAAGAUGAUCAUUGGCUAGGGUUCAUUUUGAAAUAAAAAAAUUUAUUAAGCUUAAAUGGUAGCAAAUGGAUAAUUUUCUAAAUGCAAAGGAUAGAGAAAGAUGGUCAUUGAUUAUUUCAAACACGAUCACUUAGUUAGAAGAGCAAAUUAUUUGAAGAAAUAGAUAAAAUGCUUCUUUUUAUAUUUUUUUUAUCUUUAUUUUUGUGUUAUAACCAUCAAUCAUUUUUUUUCUUGGUAUGAUUGAUGCCCCAUCUUGUUUUUUCACUCCAAGUUCUUAUAACGAUGAAAAUUAGGUUGUAUAAGAUAUCCAUAUCUAAUCACAUAGUUCACAAAAAAACUCAUUUUUAUUCCAAACUGUAUGGCAUUUUUUGUAAAAUGAGAGGAAAAGAUAUUAAUGCUUGAAACAAAUUAUUUUAGACGAGAAAGAAUUUUGCUUUUUCUUGGUCAAUGUACCUUAAGACAUAAAACAAAGGCUACUUGAGAAAAUGUUCAAGUAUUUUUUGUGUCUAUGGUUUUUAAAAGAAUUUGGAUGGUUUAAUCAUAUUGGCAAAAUUUGACACACAUUGAGUUAUCAAUUAAAAAUUUGAAAAAGUAUCUUGCUUGGUUUUCAAAAUUCAAAAUGAAUUUUCAAAAUUGGCUUAUUUUGUUCAUUACCCAAGAAAAGAUAUAUGCAUAUUCCCUGAAAGUUUCGGUUGCCCUUUUUUUUAUAUUUUGUAGGGACAACCUAUCUGGUGCUAUGUCUUCAACAUACUUAUAUUGUGCUAGAAAAACCCUAGCCAAAUCAUUCUAAGAGCAAAUCUUACUUCGGUCUAGUUGGAUAUACCACCUUGUUGUAGACCUAAUAAGACUAUCUUGAAAGUAAUGGAUCAAUAACUUAUCAUCAUGAGUAUAGCCUAUCAUUUUUCAAUAAUGCAUGGUGAUGUGUGUUGAAGGGCAUUUCAUUGCAUCAUACUUUUCAAAAUUUAAGACUUUAAAUUUUGAUGGAAUGAUAAGAUCAGGCACUAGACUAAGCUCAUUGGCAUAAACACUCCCAUAUAUAUCAUAGCUUUCAAUUACCUUCAAUCUUUUUUCCAACAUAUCAUAUUUAUCUUUCAUUAUCAUAUCUCCUGAUGGAUUUGGCAUCUUUUUCAAUUGCUCCCAUUCUUUUGGAUCAUCCAAAUUAGGCACAUCAGUGGAAUCAUAAGGAGUAGGUCUGAGAUUAACAUUUAUCCAAACUGGAGGUAACUUAACAAAAGUAUCAAUAUAAGGUUGAUGAGUUACUAGAGGUGCUUAUGACAUAUAAGGGCCUUAAACAAAUGAAUGUGUGAACCCAAGUGGACAUAAUGGUGCUUGAACAGUUGUUUCCCUUUACCUUGUGUUUUUCAACAAUUUCUUUUCCUUUUGUUAAACCUGCUAACAUUUGUUUUAAUUCUGCCAACUGUCUGUCCAUAUUUUGUUGUAUUCCUAUAGCUAUUUCCCUAAUAUUUCAUUAGGCCCUUUCCAUUCUGUCUAUAUAACUUACAUUUUCAUUUUCCAUGAUUUUGGCAAGGCUCAAGUGUUGUCAAUAUGCUGAUUUAACUGAUCUUGUUUCUUGGGACAUGUUAUCCUUGAACCUUUUAUUAACUACCAAAAGUCAGAAAUGCAUGACAUGAAUCCUAUUAUUAAAACUUUCAAAAUAUCUUUUUGCUUUAAAGGUUUAAUAAAAGUAUACUCAUAAUCACCAUUCUUCAUCCUUAGCUAGCAUGAAAAACAAUGAAUUUAAACAAAUAAUGUAUGAUAUACAAGUCAAAUUUUAUUAUUAUUGAGGGUAAGCUCAAAUUUUCUCAUAUAUUCAAGUUGGGUUAUUUAAAGACAUUUCUUCCGCCUUAAAAGUUUGGUGAAAACAUAUUUGCAAUCAUCAUUUUUUCUCAUGUACUCCUUUAGUCACACUAUUAUUAAAAAUGAAACAUAAACAAAGAUGUCCAUUCAUAUAAAAUUCAAAAGUUUUUCUUCAUUUCCAAAAAUUUCAAGUUUAUAUAUCAUGAACCAUCUUAGGACUAGGGUCAAAAAGUGCUAGAUUAGCUCUUAUUCCUCUUUGCCUGGCCUAAGAAAUCCAAAAGAAGUUGACUACAAUUGCUAGUGAGACAACCUUUUACUUUAAAGCUUUUACUUUUUAUUUGUUAUCCUAGCCAACUUGACUACUACCUACACCACUGCCUGCUACCUCAACAUUGAUCGAUGAAGGAUUCCUGUAAAUAAUUUGCUUCAUUUUGACAUUAAAACCUAAAUAUCUGACUUUUAUUAGUCCCUGUACCCUAUGUUUCAAAGCCAUGCAAUCUGUCAUAUAAUGGCCCGUGAUGCCAAAAUGGUAUUCAUAUCAAGCAUUAGGGUCAUACCAUUUAGGAAAAGGUAGUUUAAGGGGUUCAACAAGGAUAGGGAAAAUGAGGUAGUUUUCUUAGAGCAAUGAGUAUACCUAUGUAUAAGACAUGGGUGUUGGAUCAAUAAAGGAUUUUCUUUUGGUGAUGUGAGAGUUUUUUUAUUUUAUGGUUGGUUUGCUUUACCGGUAAAACGGUGGUAUAAUUGGUCUUUGAGUGAAAUGAGAAACUUUAGGUUGAAAAUUGGAUUCAAAAAGUGGUGAUGGGAUAGAAUGCUGAACAAAUGGCUAUGAAAUGUAAGGUGGUGGACAUGAAUUCAAGUGUGGAAUUCUUAGAGGUUGCAUGAAGUUUAGGAGCCUAAUCCUGGCUGCUUGGAAAGGAGAUAAAAAACAGUCGCGAGAAGAAUUUAGGUGUGAGUUUGGACUCAGGAUGGUUGGUGAGGGUUGUUUGAAACCACGUGACUCCAUAUUGAAAAUCAAACUUUUGAGUUUAGUCAUUUGUGUGGCCAGUUCACCCAUUCCUUUUUUGAGGUCAACUAAACUUAGAUCACAAGUCGGAUCAUCCAAUGCCUUAGUAUGCUUAGGAACAGUGUUGGAACCAACAGGAGUCAAUUGAUUUUGAUUUGAUGGAAUCAAAAGUGACAACAAUCCUUGAGGAGCAACAAACUCAACCAUAUUGCUACCUUUAACCAUUUCUAUCAAUUGAGCAACUUGUUGUUUCAUCUUUCGAAGCUUGAGCCAAAAUUUCUCUUGAUUCAAUUCUAAUGUGCUAAUCCUUGCUUCUAAUUGAUCUUCCAUUUUUGCCAUUCUACUUUCCACCAAGACAAACACUUUAUUUUGGGACUUAGGCCAAAAAUGUUAUAUUAUUACCUUUAUUCAAUGAAUGCCACAAAAACAAAUUUUAACUUAUAUGACAUACAGAAUCGUGUUUAUGAAUACAUGAAUAUUAUGAAAAGGGAAAAAAUGUCAUGAAAUGCAAACAUGCCUAAGGCAAAUGGAUUUUCACAUGUAUAGGCCCCAAAUGACAAAAAUUUAUCGAUAAAUUUGUAUGCAAAGAAUGUAAUGUUAUGUUGCAGGGAUGGUGGGAUAUAAAAUGCAAUGCAUGUUCUAUAAAACCCUAUCGUUCAUAAAUCCUCAUGCAUGAAAUGGAAUGCAUGUACUAUCCAUUAAUAUGGAUGUGAUGGAAUACACGUAUUUUCUUAUUAUGAUAUGCAUGAGAUAGGAUACAUGUACUACUUAUUAAGAUUCUUGAAAUGUGAUGCAUGUACUAUCUAUUAGGAUGCAUGGGAUAGGCUGCAUAUACUACUUAUUAUUUCUUAUUUUUUUUCAAACAUGAUAAAAAUAUAUGUAAAAGAUCAAAUGAAAAUGUGAAAGAUGAAACAACAUUCAAAUUUGAAAUUUUUUUUUUUUGGAAAAGGAAAAAAUUUAAGAACAAAUAUUUUUUUAUCACACAGAUAAUUGGAUUCGAAGAUUUUUUUCUUUUUCAUUAAUUUUUAUCUGGCCAAUAAACAAAGAAUUGAAAAACAUUUUUAUUUUUGAAAAACUUUGUUUGUUUGUUUUUUUUGUUUUUCCGUUAUGUUUGUUGGAUAAUGCUUAAAAAAUCUUCUUUUUAUCUUAAAAUAUUUUUAAAAGUAGCAAAUUUUGGAUAACCACAAAAUGAAUGAACUACAUGCGAAGAGAAAAUUUACUUUUUUUUUAAAAAAUGCUUUUUUUUUUAUUAUCUAUUUCUUUUUUCCAACAUUUUAUGCAUAUUUGAGUUAUUUCUAUAAAAAGGUCGGUAGGGCUCUAUCUAGCGUUGGUUCCCUUAUGUCCAAUGGUAUGUUGGGUUAAGAUUUAUAUGUCUAAAGGUUUCCAAUCUGUUCCUCACAUCACCAUCUAUUAAAACUAGUAAGGCUUCCCAAUCCUCACCAAUUACAGGCUACUAAUGGAAAGGGUUCAAUUUGAGUAGAAAUAUUUUGCUAACAAAUGCGGAGGUUAUUACCUCAUAAGAGCAUAACUACUUUACUUCUUCCUAAAAGGUAUAGAGCUCAGGUCUAUAGCUAAUGUAUGUGAGUGAAUAUGUAGAAUGUGUGCAAAGAGAUAUAUCAAUUAAACAACAUAAGAGAAAAAUGAAUAACAAAACAAGGUAGGAUGUUAACAUGCAAUUUCUUUUAAAGAAUUAAAAUAGAGGGAAUUAAAAUUAAACAUCAACUAAAAUCAUAAAAUCCAACAAUUCAGAUAAUGCAUGAUUAAUUUUUGGCUUGACUCUUAAAAAAGGUUCUCAAUGGAAUUGCUAAGCUGUCGUAAUGUACCAGUCCUAAGACUUGAUUGCUAGACAUAAAAAAUUUAAAAAUCAUAAAAAAAACAUAGAAAGUCACCACCAAUCUUUUUUAGAGUGCGAUUGGUCACCCAAAAGUUUAUCGUUUUAAUAAAACAAUAAAACGGGUUUAGCAUUUAUUAAAAAGAUGAUUUUGGUUUACGAAAACAAGAUCGAGUUUGAGAGUCGAUUACGUAUGAGGAAGGACUAGCACCCCUACAAUGCCCAUAGAAUUGGUACCAAUUAAUCAUGCACAAUUUAUAAUUUUGGAUAAAAAUGGUUUUUUUGGUAUGAAAUUUAAUUAUAAUUUCCUUCAUUUUUAAGAAAUAAAAAUAGUUUAAAAAAUAUUUAUUUAGGAAUAUUAUGAAAAUUUUCAAAUUAAAGAAAUACCUACAAAGUCUCCGACAUAAAGGCAAAAUUCGAAGAUAGUCUUUUCAUUUAAGAUUUAUCAUAAUAUUCUUUCAAAAAUAACAAAAUAACACUCUUUGUUAAUGAUAAUUAUUGAUAACUUUCCAACAUCUAAGCAAAGUACUAAUAAUUAUAUUUGACGAAAUGAUAUUUUAAUUUUAUUUGUUCAAAAUGCAGUAAAAUAAAAAUAAAUAGUAAUAUAAUUAAUAUUGAACAUCCAUAACUAGAGCAAACAUAUAUAUAUGCAUUAUAAAUGAGUACAUUAAUUUAAAAAUGAAACAUAUGCAAAUGAUGAUUAAAUGUGAAUUUAGAAAUCCAAUCUUCAAAUAUAAAGGGACCACUUGGACUCUCUAACAUCUAAGCAGAGUUUGAUGCAACCAUUUAUAUUUUAAAAUCCUGUCUAAUUAUUUUUAUUAUUUUAUAGUUUUAUAUUUGUUGUUUUAAGAAAACAAAUUUAUUUUGAGUUGCGAAAAUGUUUAGAAAUUCUUAAUGGAAAAAAAUUUCCUAAAUGACCCAACAUCUAGGUAGUAUUUGGGAACAUAUUAUCUCAUAAAAAGGUUUUCAUGCAUAUUUUCAUAAAAUUUCCUAAACACUGUAACAUCUAGGCAGUAUUCAAAAAUUUAAUUAAUUUACUUGCAUUACAUUAACACAUGAUUUUUGCAAGGUAAAACUAAAAUUAUGAUCUUAAUCAUUUAUUAUACAGUGAUGACAAUAUUUAUUUAUUUCAAUAUCAAUAAUUUAAAAUAAUUAAAUGUUUAUCUAUAUAAAGAAAUGCAUGUAAAAAUGAACAAAUAACUAAUGAGUGAAUUGAAUUUACCUAAAUUAGACUUAAAUUUGAUAUGAUUCACAACAAAAGAAGAGCCCAAUUUGAUGGAUAUCUAAUUAGGCUUGGAUUGGACUAGGAGGGUUGGGUCAGGUGAGUGAGUUGGAGCCUAGGUUAGUUUGGGUCACCAGUCGAGUUGCAGGUGUUGAAUCGGUGGGCACAGGUCAGGUCACCAGGUCAACUGGUUGGAUUAGGUCAUGGGUUGACCCGAUUUUCCUUUACUCCUUUUUUUGGCCCUAAUUAUAAAACAUUAAAAAUUUUUUUUUAUUCAUUUUUUAUCUUUCAUUAAAAAACUUUUCCCUUUUUUUAUAAAAAAACCCUAAAAAUAGAUCCUGGUUAAAGCUACCGUCGCUGCUUCCAAGCCCUCCCUUUUUUCCUUACUUCUUUUCCUUUUUGAUAGUGCUAAGGUACCUUCUUGAAGGGAGGAUUGUGGUUAUUUUCUUUGGAUUUUUCUUUUCUUGAUUUUUGUGGAAAGAAGUAAAAAUUGAUUUUUUUGUGAUUUUCAGUUGAAUAAGAGGGAUUUUUUUUUACUUUUGGGCUAAUUUUUUUUUUUAAGGUCUUGAAUCAAAGGCUAUUUGCAGGGGUUUUGGAUAUUUUUGAAAGGAAAAGGGGCAAGAUUUUUUUGGGUUUUUAAUAUUGGCUAAACUGGUUUCCAAUUUUCCAAUGAUUGUUGGUGUGUUGGUUGUUAUGAAGGUUUUUAGGGUUAGUUGGAGGUUGUUUUAUGCUUCAAAAGGCUAUUAUAAAGGGCCUUAAAGGAGCAAAAAAGGGCUCUACUAGGGACUUGCGUAGCAAGGGGCUAUGUUAGGGAAUAAGAUUAAUGGUACCUAAGGCGAGGUGCCAAGUGUGGAGCAAAGAUGUGUGCUGGGACUGAGGUUAGGUUAUAGAGGUGCUUAGGAAUGGGGUUGAUAAAAAGGGGUACGAGGAUUAGGGCUAGGCUAGUGUUUGGUUGGGUGGUUUUGUGAAGGGGCUUUGGGUUUAGAGGAAUAGGUGCUCAAGGCUAGUAAGGUGAGGAAUAGUGCUCAAUGUUUGAAAAUGGGGACGAUGCGAGUGCUUGAAGACUAGAUAUGGAGCUAGAUGUUGGGUUUUGUAAUGGUGCUUGCUAGGUUGGUAGAAAUGGUUGAAAGGUUAUGGCUUUGUCCAAGGAAGGGUGCAGGAACCUUGUGUGGGUUUUGGGUACUAGGGAUAUGGAGUUAAGGGGUGAAAAAUAAUGCUCAACCUCCUCUCCCUUUGGUGUUUUGGUCUCUUGGUUUUUAAUCUAUCAAAAUUUUUGUUGUUUUACAAGAAAAAACAACUUUGGUCGCUUUUGGCAUGGAGUAGGUAGGGGCUGGGGAGUGCAUAGUGUUGGCUUGAUGUGCAGGGGCAGUGGCUAAUGCAUUGUGCAAAGCCUUGGGCAUUUGGCUUAUUGUGGUAGUGGCUACCAACCGCUUUGUUUGCUAUUUUUUUUCUUUCCUUUUUUUUUAAUUUAAUUUUUUUUGUAUAAUUUAAUUUUUUUAAUUAAUUAAUUUAAUUUUUUAUAUUUUUGAUUAAUUAUAGUAAUAAUAAUUUGAUUAAUUAAUUAUUUCUUCAUAUUUUUUUUUCAAAUUUUCAAUUAAUUAAAUUAAUACUAAAUAAUAAUAAUAGUAACAAUAAAAUAAGAUUAAAAAUAACUAGUUUCGAACAAGUUCAAAUCAAUUCAAUUUAAUGCUUAAACCAGCUCAAAUAAAAUAAAAAAUGAAUAAAUUCAAAUUAACCCGAACAAAAUUGAGUGUCUACACUUACUCUUACUUAUUGAGGGAAAAGUUUCAUUAACCAUGUCCAUAGUAAUGGCAAAGAAAACAAAAAGGUCACUAUGACUAAAAGAGUGAAGCAAUUCACUAAUAUUAAUGGAACAUAAUGACAAGAGUUUUGCAUAAAAUUCUCAUUUUAAUUGACAUUUUCUCCCAGCAUCCACAUGGUAAUUGUAGAGGGGUUCUUUGGUGAGGUGAGAAAAAGUUGCAAACAAGUAAAACGAGAUAUGUCAAAAGACGGCAUAGAGGAAGACUAGAGCAGACCUUGAAGUAUUGAGUGUAGUGACAGAUGAUGAUAGAUAGUGAAAUAAGGUUGAGUCAGGAAGAGAAUAAGCAUGAGAGAAAGAUCUAGGAAGAGAGGAUUACAGAGAGAGUGAGAGAAAGUUGUGAGAAAUCUGCCAAAGUCUAAAAGUUCCCCAUGAAAUGUAAAAGCUCUUAUUUAUAGAUUUCAAGAAUAUGAUUUACAUAUAUUGAGUAAUAAAUAGGAAUAAUGGUGAAUAAUAGGAGAAUUGGUCAUUACAAAAAGUGUUAAUGUAUUGGUUAAUGAGUGUUAAUUAGCUUUUGGUGAUAGGUAUAGUGAACAUAAAAGUUCACUAUUUGUUCUAAAAGAAAGGAAGAUGCACUCAUACUUCAGAGAAGGGUUAGCAAAAAUCCUCUUAACUAUCUUUUUAUUUGAUCUACCAAGCCAAACUCUUUGAAACAACUCAAUAGUGGAAUUAAUCCAAGCACCCUGCCAUAUUUUGGGAUAUUUUCACUUCUUUUUUUGAUGAAGCAUCUUUUAUGGAAUAACUCUUAAUGAAGUAACUUUUGGUGAAAAAAUUUUCGAUAAAGGUGUUGAUAUUGUUUCUUGAGAAAGUUGUUUUGAAAAUAGCUGUUUCAUAAAUGUGUUGUUCUAUGAAGGAGUUGUUCAUUGAAUAGUUGUUUUGUGAAUAGCUAUUCUAUAAAAAAGUUGUUCCAUGAAUAACUAUUUUGUGAAAUAACAUUCAAUGAAACAAUCCUUUCACCUAUUUUGACUAAUCCUCAACUUUAACAAUUUUAGAGAAAUUUAUAAGAAUAAAAUAUUUGUAACAAAAUCAAGUAUCUACAUUUUUCCUUUUGCAUGAGAAUUCUUAAUAUAAGAAGUUUCAUGUAUUAAUACAAUUAAAGAGUAAAAUUAAAAAAAUAUAUGGAAAUAAAAUAUAUUUGUUCUCAAAAUUUUAAAAAUGAAUGAUAUAAGUUUCAUGAAAAGAAGAAAGAAAAAAUUAUAUAUUUUUUUAUGAUAACAUAUGUGCAAAUUCAUUGCCUCCUGUAUGGAAAUUGUUUGAUGCAAAACAAAAAAAUGUUUCAUGCAUAGAAUUAAAUCAAAAGUAAUCUGUUAGACUGGUGUGUUUUCGAAAAAAUAGAAUAACUUAAAAAAAUCAUUGAUUAGGAUGUUUCCUUAAAAAAGCAUAAUUAGAAAAAUGAACAAGUAAUGACAGUGCUUUUCUACAAAUAUAGAAGAAAUAUAAAAGAAAAACAUAACUAAUGAAAGUGUUUUCCUAAUGUCAUAAUGUAUAGAUCCAUAGAGCUACCACUAUACAUGAAUUAGACGAGUCGCCACUAAUAUUUUUUGUUUAGGUGUGAUUGGCCACCUGAAGCAGAUUUUGACCCACGAAAUCAGAUUUUAGGUUUGGCAGUACAGUUGCAUGCGGGAAAGGUUAUAGCACUCCCACAGGACCCAUCCAAAGAAUAGUACCAAUUUGAUUUUCAGAUUAUCCAAACCUUGAUCAUAUUUGUAAUUUACCAAAUUCUUUAAUAUUGAAAAUAUAUCUUUAAAUUGUCUCAAUAGUUUGGUAGCAAUUUAAGAUAAUUUUCUCACUUUAAGAGUAUUCAUGGAUACUAGUGUCCCACUUUGAAAAGGCAUCAUUGUCAGAUUUAUUAUAAUAUUUUAUUCAAAAAAAAUUAGUAAAGUCUCCUAAUAUUUUGGUAGGACUUAAUUUGAAAAGAUCUCCCAAUAGUUAAGUGAGAUUUUAUUGUAAAAGGAUUUGUAAAAAUUUGUGAAUUUUAUUAAGUCUCCCAAUAGUUUGGUAAGACUUAAUUUGAAAAGCAAUCCUUUAAUUGUUUAGAGGAUAAAUUUUUUUUUUUGAAAACUGAUUUAUGAAAUUUCUUAAUUGUUUGGUGAAUUCCAUUUUAAAAAUUAAAUCCAUCAAAAUUCUCCAAUAGUUUAGUAGAAUUCAUCAAUUUAUUUUGUAAGAAUUUUUACUUAAAAAAAGAUUUUUUUAUUUCUUCUUUUAAACUUGUUUGAAAAAGGUUUUUUAUUUAAAAUAAGAAAUAAUAAGAGUAAAUAAGAAAUAAACAAAAUAAGAAAAAUAGAAUCAAAAGAGAAAAUGGAGUGGAAAAAGGACAGAGAAUACCUACAAUUGAGUUGGGUUGUGCAUAGUAAAAUACAUAGAUUUAGAUGCCUCAAAUUUUAGGCUUUUCUUCAAAAGUGUUUGAGUAUGUCUCUCUUUCUAAAAUGGCUAUUCUUCUGUCUUCUCUCUAAUUGAUUUAUAGGUGCCAAGAAAUUGACGAAUAAAUCCCAAAAGCUGACAGAGAAUUUUUAGAAACUAAUAAAUUAUCUAGAAAACUAAACCUAAAAAUCCCUAGAAUGCAAAAUCCUACAUAAAUUCAAACCUAAAAACACCAAAUCCCAAUUCUAGAAAAUCUAAACAAACCAAACCCAAAACUUAAAACCUCUUGGUUGCUAAACAAAUUUCUCUAUUUUCUCUCAAGAGUUUUUGCAUAAUCUUUUUUUUUUAAUGCUCUCCCAUUUGCUUUGAUCGCGGAUUUAUAUAGGAAUUCAUGUUUAAUCAAUUCCCCUUAAAUCUAUGAUUUUAUUUGAUUUAUGUUUUAAUGAGAAUUGAUGCUGAAAUCCAAUCCCAAAAAUCUCUCCCUAUCAUUUUAAUGUGAAUUGAUUAUGGAAUUAAAUCCUGACAAUCUUUCAACAUCAUUUUCAAUGCCAAUUGAUUCUAAAAUUAAAUCCUAAAAAUCUCUCAAUUGCCAUUGAAGCCUAAUUUUGAAAAAAUAUUCUCGAACAAAAUGGGGUGGCUACAGCUAUCCCUUUUUAUGCAUUUUCUAUGAAAUAGGAAUUGCACAAAGACAAAAGAUAUCCAUUUUGUUUGGGUCUAAAAGCUGAGAUUUAAAAAAUGAUCAAAGUAUGCCAAACUGAUUGAUACUAAACUGUAAAACAAGAAAUAAAAUGAUUUGGAUUGAGCCAAGAUCAAAAUAGGUGACUAAGAUUAAAUCACAAAUCAAAAAAAUAAAAUGAUCUGGACUAAGUCGAGAUCAAAAUUGAAUGAUUGGGAUGAUGUUGCGAGUCAAAAGAUAAAGUGACCAGGAUCGAGUUGAGGUAGAAGAUGACUAACCAGGAUAGAACCACGAGUCAAGAAAUGAUCUAGACAAAAUCGAGAUCAAAUGACUAAGACAAAAUCACAAGUUAAAAGAUAACACGACCAUGACUGAGUCAAGGUUGAAGAUGAUUUACUAGGAUAGAACUGCUAGUCAGGAAAUGAUCUGGACUAAACUGAGAUUGAAUGAUUGAUAUGAAACCACCAGUCGAAAAGAUAAAGUGACCAGGAUCGAGUUCAAAUCAAAGAUGAUUGAUCAGGACAAAAUUGCGAGUCAGAAAAUGAUUUGGCCUAAGCCAAGAUCGAAUGAUCGAGACGAAAUCAUGAGUCUAAAGAUAAGGCAACCAAGACCAAGUCAAAGUCGAAGAUGACUAAUCGGGACAAAAUCGUGAGUCAAGAAAUGAUCUGGCCUAAGCUGAGAUCGAAUGACUGGGACAAAAUCGAGACAAAAAGAUAAAUUGACUAGGAUCGAGUUAAGGUCGAAGAUGACUGAUCGAGAUAGAACCACGAGUCAAGAAAUGAUCUAGCCUAAGUCAAGAUCAAAUGAUCGAGAUAAAACCAUGGUCUAAAAAUAAAGUAACUAGGACCGAGUUGAGGUCGAAGAUGACUGACCAAGAUGAAAUCAUGAGUUAGGAAAUAAUAUAACUUGAGCCGAGAUCGAACGAUUGGGAUAAAAUUGUGAGUUUAAAGAUAAAGCAACUGGACCGAGUCAAGGUCGAAAAUGACUGAUCACGAUAGAACUACGAGUCAAAAAAUGAUCUAACCUGAGUUGAUAUCAAAUGAUCGAGACAAAAUCAUGAGUUAAAAAGAUAAAGUGACCAGGACCAAGUCAAGGUCAAAGAUGACUGACCGAGAUGAAAUCACUAGUCAAAAAAUGAUCUGACUUGAACCGAGAUCGAAUGACCAGAACAAAACUAUGAGUUGAAAAGAUAAAACAAAUAGGAUCGAGUCGAGGUAAAAAAUGAUUGAUCAGGGUGGAACCGUGACUUAAGAAAUGAUCUGGCCUAAGCUAAUAUCGAAUGAUCGAGACAAAAUUGCAAGUCAAAAGAUAAAAUGACCAAGAUCGAGUCAAGGUCGAAAAUGACUGAUCGGGAUAGAACCGCAAGUUAGAAAAAUGAUUUGGAUGGAGUCGAUAUAAAAAUGAGCGAUAAAUGAUAUUGUGAUGAUGCAAAUGCAUAUCUUAUCUAGGUUGUAAAUGUAAUCAUAAUGUGUGUAAUGCAGAUGUUAUUAAAUCAUGCCAUGAGGUUUCAAUUAUGGUAACAAGGUUCUCAAGAUUCUACAAUCUCAUACAUUCUUCCUCAGCUUCCCACAUCUCAAAACAAAUUUUGUUAAUCGAUCCAUGUCAUUAUUUUGAUCUGGCCAUAACUUAUAGGUCAUGUCAACCAAUCUAUUACUGAAUUCAUCACCAAGUCACCUUGUUUGCCCCCUCGUAAAUCAUUCUCUCAUGCUUAUUUCAUUCAUCUCAUCUUAGGUUUCUUUCAAAAGAAUGGAGCACUCUUUAUGAAAAAUGUCAUUCAUUUAUUUACCGUCAUUCAAAUCAAUGACAAACAUGAUGCAUUUUCUUGAUUUAUUCAAGGAAUGUUCAUUUGGUAAAGGAUAAAAAAAAUAGGUUUUUAUUAUUAAAAGAACAAAAGUAUGGUUAGAAACAACUCAAGAGUGAAUAAAGGCAAAAUGCUAUGAUUAUCAAAUCCAAAAUAAUGAUUGUUUAGAUAAUUUUGAAUUCAAACUCAAAAUUCUUUUUUAAAAACGUGAUUCCAUCAAUAUCAUCUUCAUUCCUGAGACCCUCAUGCGGAACUGUGUUUCCAAAUUUUCAUCUUUACUUAAACUACUCUUUCGGGUUUUCAGUCUAAGUCUCCUUUUUACCUCAUUUUCUUUAUUUCUUUUUUCUUCUUUUUUCAUUUCUUUCAUUUUUUUAUACAAUUUUUUAUAAUUUUUCCCUUUUUUUUCUUUUUCUUUUUUUUUGUUGCACAUCUUGUUUUCAUCAUUUUUAUUUCCCUUUUCCCUUUAUUUAUCAAUGAUACUUUGAUCAAAGCUUCACAUGAUCUAAUGGCAAACCAGCCCCAAUUCAAUUCAUGAUUUUUCAAAUCAAGUAUUCACAUUUAAUCAAAAUGGACUUUUAAGGGAUGUAACAUAGGCCAAGGUGAAUGGUGCCAAAGAAAAGGGAUAAAAUAGGUUCAAAUUAUAUUUAAAAGAUAAUCAAACCAAUGAUCAUUUCUUCAUAUAGAGUAUUUUGAAAUUUUGCCCUAUCACCUUUCAUUUUCUUCUUCUUUUUUUUUAUGUUUUUUUCUCUUUUUUCCUUUUUUCCUUUUUUUUGGUUUUUUUUUUUGGUGGAGCACAUUGGCAUAUGCCCCCAUCAAUUUUUUCUUUUCUUUUUAAUUUGUAAAGAAAACUUGAGCACAAAAAAGCUUUGCCCCUAAGGAUGAACAAAUUUAUCAAACUUUACCCCCUAGUGUGGGGGUGAUCCUUGGUUAGGUUGCCUUAAAGAAAAUUUUCAACAAGCUCAAGUAAGAUAGCGAAAGAUAAAUUUUUUUUAAAGGAUAGAAGAAAGAUGGCCAUUUAUCAUUUCGAGUGUCAAUACACUCAAUGAAGAACAUUAAUUGACUAAGAGCAAGCUUGUGAGUGAACAAUCACAAAGAUCAUGUGUCAUAUCACUUUCACCUUUCAAUGAGUCAAACUUUCACAAGAGUUAUCUCUUUUUUUAUUAGUCCCAAUGAACCAACAAUCUCAAAUUUAUCAAUCCAACCACCAUGAAUGGUAUUGAAUCUUGAAUUAUCAUUCUGAAUGUUUGAACCUUCAUUAUUUGGAAUUAAAGAAAUGGGUAUGGGAAAAGGUAUAAGAAGGAAAAAAUAAAUAAUAGGUAUUCACAUAAAAGAAAAAUAUCAUGAAAAUGCAUCAAACAUGUCACUUUAUUAAAAUAAUGGAAAAUAAGAUAAAGUCCAAGUACAUAAAAAGAUCCAUAUUCUCAAAAGGUCCAAGAUGAUAAGCAAUUCCAAUCAACCUUCCCAAAAUUAUGCCCCUAGAUGAUUAGGUGAAAGGUUACCACUAACAUUGGAUGCCAUGUUGCCAUCAAUAUCAAAAUUUAUUUGCCCUUCUUUGAUCAAUCUUUGCAUCAUAUGUUUCAAAGGAAUAAAAUUUUUAGUGGAAUAGCCAACUACCCCAAAAUGGUAGUCACAGUGAGCAGUGGAGUCAUACCAUUUGGGAUAAAAAAGUACGAGUUAUUUUAUAGGAACAAAAGUAAUCAAAUUGUUCUUGUAAAAUUCUUGGUACAAAUCUGUGCAACUUAUAUAGAUAGGGUCAAAUGUAGGCUUUUCUCGAUUUCGUUAUUCCUGCACACCACUUGUUAGGGUAGUUGGAUGAAUAGAGGGCCUACGUGUGGAUGGAUAAAAAAGUCAAUGUGUUGAUUGGUACACUGCAGCAGGAGCAUGACUUACAAGUGAAUGAUAUAUAAGAGAGAUUGGCUGAGGGUAAUUUUUAAAUUGCUACUUAUUGAAACUCAUAGCUUGAGUCUCAUUUUUCUUCUUCUUGGGCAUCUGUUCAGCAGUAAAGGACCUCUUUCUUCCAAUUUGUCAUUCUUAAUUGCAUUUUCAAUUAUCUCCCCUAAAAUUACCAUGUCGACAAAAUUCUUAGUUGUAUUCUCUAUCAUCUUCUUGUAAUGUGACAACUUUAUAAUGCUUACAAAUAGCACUGUCAUUUUUUUCUUUAUUAAAGGGGUUGUACUUGAGUAGUGACAUCUUGCCACCUUUAGGCAUACUUCUUAAAAGACUCGGAUGCUUUUUUCUCCAUCUUUUAUAAUGAAAAAUAAUCAUGAGCCAUAUUUAUUAUAAGGCAAUAUUGGUUAAUGAAAGACUGGGUUAGAUCCUUCCAUGGCUUAAUAUGAGUCCUAUCCAACUGGAUAUACCAUCUCACAGUAGACUCGAUCAAGCUGUCUUAAAACACAUGCAUGAACAACUUGUCAUUACUGGCAUGAGCUGCUAUCUUAUGAUAAUACUUCUUAAAUUUGGUACAUUGAAUUUUAGGGGAAUCACAACAUCUAGAACUAGAUAAAGGUUGGUAGCAUCCAUAGAUCCAUAGAAGUCAAUGUCUUUUAUAGCCCAUAAUCUUUCCUUGAUCAUGCUCAUAGCUUGAUCGAUUUUAGAGUCUUUCGAGGAUAUAGUUGUUUGUAACUUCACUUCUUAUUUGGUCUCAUCCAUUUUGGGAAUUUGGAUGGGUUCAUUUGUUUUUUCAGUGAAGACAGGAUUGGUAUAGCUUUGAACAUUCCUUUAAUUUGGUGCAUAAAGCAUUUUAUAACUCAUGAAUGUGGUCUAUUGUGGCCAAAGACUUGGAGUAGUUUGGGUUUAAGGUGAACCAAAACUUGGUAGAUAUGGGGAUUCGGUAACUUCAUACGAACCAUCUUCUUCCACCUCUUUUCUUUUGUUUAUCUUUUCAAAAGCAACUAGAAUUUUACUUAGUUUCCCUUCAAGAAUCUCCUGGGCCUUUUCUAUCCUUUCAAGAUGACUUGCAUUAUCUUGCUUCAUUUUCCUGGCUCUAGCCCAAGUGUAGUACUAGUGUUGAGCUAUCUUUAAACCCUGAUUUCCCAUAAUUAUGAUGUAAAUUUAAAAUGAUGUUUAUGGAACCAUCAGAUUAUGCAUGAGAAUGAAUGCAGUGAUACAUGAAUACAUGUAUACACAAUAAAAAAAGGGUUAGCAAGCAUAAUAUGCAAUCUGCAUGUAUGUUUAUGAAUAUGCACAAGAAGAAAAUAAAUAAAAAAAGGCAAGAAAAUCGAUUAGUCACCUUAAUAAAAAAUAAAUAAUAAACACUAUAAAGUAAGUAAAAAUAACAACAUGACUCUAAAUUUUGAGUUAACUAUAAAGGGUGAAAGGACAUGGCUUAUCUAUGGUUAGGCUGUUAAAGUUAACUAUAUGCGUUUUGGAUUACUUCUAAAAGGUUUUCAAAUUGUUUGUUACAUUAUAAUCCAUCACAGACUAGUAAGGCACCUUGAUCCUCACCCAUCAUAGGCUACAAGUGGAAAGGAUUCAAUUUGAGUGGGAGUAUUUCGUAGGCCCAUACAGAGACAUGAAAUCUCAUGAAGGCAUAGGUACUUCACUCUCUCUUAAAGGUAGAGCUCAAGUGAAAAGCUUUAUGUUAUGUGUAUGCAAAUAAAUGAUAGAUAUAUACAAGUGAAUAACUAACAGAAUAUAAAUAAUGAAAAGAAAGAAAUAAGAAAGAAAAAAAAUAAUCUCAAAUUUAUUAAGCAAGGUUUGGAUAAUAAGAAAUUAUUUACUAGCCUGACUCUCGAUGUCCCUUAGUGGAUCACCAAACUAUCAUAACGUAUAGAUCUGUGGACUUAUCGCUAGACAUGGACUAAAGGAGUUACCACCAAUUUUUUUUAUUUAAGUGUGAUUGGCCACCUGAAGCAGAUUUUGACCCACGAAACCAGAUUUCAGGUUCGGGAGUACGGUUACUCAUAGCAAAGGUUAUAACACCCCUAUAACACCCAAACAAAGGAUAAUACUAGUUUGAUUUUAGAUUAUCCAAGCCUUGAUCAUAUUUGUAAUUUACCAAAUUAUUUGAUAUUGAAAAUAUAUUUUAAAUUAUCCCAAUAGUUUGGUAGCAAUUUAAGAUAAUCUUUUUCACCUUAGGAGUAUUCAUAAAGACUAGUAUCCUACUUUGAAGAGGCUCUAUCAUCGGAUUUAUUAUAAUAUUUUCUUUAGAAAAAAUUAGUAAAGUCUUCCAAUAGUUUUGUAGGACUUAAUUGGAAAAGAUCUCCCAAUAGUUUGGUGAGAUUUUAUUGUAAAAAUUUAUAAAUUUUAUUAAGUCUCUCAAUAGUUUGGUAAGACUUAAUUUGAAAAGCAAUCGUCUAAUUAUUUGGAGGAUAAAAUUAUUUUUUAUUUUUUUAUUAUUUUGAAAACUAAUUUAUGAAAUUUCCCAAUUGUUUGGUGGAUUCCAUUUUAAAAAUUAAAUCCAUGAAAAUUCUCUAAUAGUUUGGUAGAAUUCAUCAAUUUAUUUUGUAAGGAUUUUAGCUUGAAAAAAAGAUUUUUUUAUUUAUUAUUUUAAACUUAUUUGAAAAAGGUUUUUUAUUUAUUUCAUAAAUAAGUACAAAAAAAUCAUAAUAAUAAGUAAUGUAUUUUUUCAAUUUAAAAUAAGAAAUAGUAAGAGUAAAUAAAAAUAAACAAAAUAAGAAAAAUAGAAUCAAAAUAGAAAAUGGAGUGGAAAAGGGAAAAAGAAUACCUACGAUGGGAUCGGGUUGUGCAUGGUAAAACAUAGAUUUAGAUGCCUCAAAUUUUAGGGUUUUCUUUAGAAGUGUUUGAGUAUGUCUCUCUUUCUAAAAUGGUUAUUCUUCUAUCUUCUCUCUAAUUGAUUUAUAGGUGCCCAAAAAUUGACGAAUAAAUCCCAAAAGUUGACAAAGAAUUUUCAGAAACCCAACAAAUUGUCUAGAAAACUAAACCCAAAAAUCCCUAGAAUGCAAAGCCCUACAUAAAUUCAAACCCAAAAACACCAAAUCCAAAUUCUAGAAAAACUAAGCAAACCAAACCCAGAACUUAAAACCUUUUAGUUACUAAACAAAUAUCUCUCUUUUCUUUCAAAAGUUUCUGUAUAAUAAUGUUUAAAACAAAUAUCCCAUUUGCUUUAAACAUAGAUUUAUAUAAGAAUUCAUGCUCAAUCAAUUCCCUUUAAAUCUAUAAUUUUAUUUGAUUUCUGUUUUAUUGAGAAUUGAUUUUGAAAUCCAAUCCCAAAAAUCUCUCCCUAUCAUUUUAAUGUGAAUUGAUUAUGGAAUUAAAUCCUAACAAUCUCUCCACAUCAUUUUUAAUGCCAAUUGAUUUUGAAAUUAAAUCCCAAAAAUCUCUCAAUUACGGUUGAAGCCUAAUUCCAAAAAAAUAGUCUCAGAUAGAAUGGGGUGUCUACACUUAAAAAAAUAAAAUAAUUAUCAAAAGGAAUAACUAUUGGAAGUGUUUCUUUAAAAUAUGGAAUAAUUAUAAAAAAGAAUAACUUUUGGAAUGUUUCCUUACAAAAUAUGAGAAUAAGUGUGGGAACGUUUCCCUAAAAAAUAUAAGAAUAGUUAAAAGAAAUAGGUAAUGGGAGUGUUUUCCUAAAAAAUAAGAAAAUUAUUAAAAAGAAUAGGUGAUUGGAGUGUUUCUAUUAAAAAUAGGAAAAUUAUUAAAAGGAAUAGGUAAAUGAGUGUUUCUUGUAAAAAUAGGGAAAUUAUUAAAAGGAAUAGGUAAUGGAGUGUUUCCUUUAAAAAUAGAAAAAUUAUUAAAAGGAAUAGGUAAUGGAAUGUUUCCCUAAAAAAAUAUGAUAAAAAGUAAUGGGUGUUUCCCUUAAGAAAAUAGGAAAAUAAGUAAUGAAUAUUUUUCUUUAAAAAAAUAGUAGAAUAAGUAAUACAAAUAUUUUCCUAAAAAAAUAAAAAAAUAAGUCAUGAGAAUAUUUUUUUAAAAAGUAGGAGAAAAAAUAUUGUAAAAUAAAUCAAGUAUUGUUUAGGAGAACAAAUAAUGAACAUUAGUUUUACUUUUCUAAAAUAAAUCAAGAUUGUUUUUUUUUUUUUUUAAGGAAUGCUUGGUAGUAAACAUCUUUUUGGUAGAUUUUCUUUGAAUUAACAUAAAUAAAUAAGAUGUGUUUCUUGACAAUCAUACCUUGAAAUGAAGGAAACAUUCCUUAUAUGAAUGUAAAACAUGUACUUCUUAGAAAUUAUAAGCGAAAAUACUUCUUGGAACAUAUGACAAAUUCGUUUUUAGGAAUCAUCAUUUAGAUGUAAAAAAAGUGUUUUGAUAUGGAAGUAUGAAUGAGAGAUGCUUAUUUUUAAAUGAUAGGUAAUCAGAAAUGUUUUAGGAGAAGCAUUUCAUAAAAAUACACAUGAAUAUUUUGAGAAUUCUUUUAAAUAAUAAGAAAUAGCUUUUAGAAAAAUACAUGUGGAAUACUUAUUAAGAAUCAUGAGAGUACCUUAACAAUUUAAGUAUGCUUGCACAUGAGAGUGAUAUAAGUGGUGCGUGAGACCACAAUAAUCAACUUCUUUAUUGGAAGACUUACAUACGAGAGUAAUGGAAGUGAUGUAUAAGACCAUAAUGAUCGACUUCUAUAUUGGAAGAAAUUUUGUAUGAGAAUGAUAGAAGUGGUGCAAAAAACCACAACUAUCAAUUUCUCUUGUAAGAAUAACAGAAAUGGUGCAAGAGAGUAAAAUGGUAGACUUCUUUUCAAAAAUAAUUUAUAUAUGAUAGUGACAGAAGUAGUGCAGAACCAUAACAAUUUUUUUUUAACAAAAAUUUAUUUAUAAGGAUGAUAGAAGUGAUGCAUGAGAUCAUGAUGAUCAACUUCUCUUUAGAGAAUGACAUGUAGCUAACUUAUAUUUAUUUAGAAAUGUAUGCAAAUAAGCAAUAUCUCUACUUUGUAUUGGUGAGAUGUGCUCUCAACUCAGUGAUAAAAAGAAUCAUUUACAUAAUUUACGUAUGUAAAGCAUAAUAAUAAUUCAAAAUUAUAAAGAUAUACUUAAAGAUUAAUGAAGAAUUCCUUCAAAGUACAUAUAAAUAGUUCUAAUAAAAAAUAUUUUUUUAAAUUUGGAUUCAUACCUUCUAAAUCAACGCUUAGUUAUUCCUUAUCUUUGAUGGUAAAUUUUCCUUAAAGCAUUACAUUCUAUGGUGGGAUGUCCAAUCAUUCUAUGAAAAUGACAAUACAUAGGACUUGAUUUUUCUUCAAUUGUAGGUUGGUAUUCAACAUUCGGAAGAUGUAUACCUUUUUCAUUCACCCAUUUAUUCAAGAUUUCAAGAACUUUUUCCAUAGAACAUGGAAAUUGAGGUGAAGAAACUUGUUCAUUAUGAGUGAGCUUAGAUUUCUUCUAUGAUAUCUCUUCAUGAAAAGCAAUUGAAACACCUCUCUCAUGCAAAUAAUUAAAUUGUUUCUUAUUCCCCGUGAUAGUAUUGUUAGUUCUUCUUGCAGCCUCAACUAAAGUAGAGAAAAAAGAUAAUGAUAAAUUUUAUAGAUAAAGUUGAAAUUCACUAAACAUUCCUCAGAUGCACACUUUGACCAAUUGCUUUUCAUCAUCAACUUCUUGAACAUCAACACUUUUUUUCCUAAAAUGUUAGAUAUAAUCCAUCACAUCUUCUUUUGGCUUUUGAUAUUCCCAUCGUAAGUAAAUAAGAGUAAACUUAUCUUGGAUGGAAAAGAAUUUUUCAUCAGACAUCCAACACAUUUGACUCUAGGUUCUACAAAGCAAGGAGUAAGAUUGACAUACUAGGUGUAUGCCUUUUCAGCGAGAGAUUUAGAGAAUUACUUCAACUUCAAAUCAUUAUCCAAUCUAACUACUCCAAGAGUUUACACUAACUUCAUUACAUACUUAAGAGCAUCCCCAGUCUUGCAAUUGAAUUGCUUAAACUUAGAUUGUCAUAACAUAUUGGUCUAGAAACUCAAUCGUUAGACAUAAAAAUUAGAAAUCAUUAAAAACAUGGGAAGUCACCACCAAUCUUUUUUAGGGUGUGUUGGCCACUCAAACGUUUUAUCUUUUUAAUAAAACAUGUUUAAAGUUUAUUAAAAAGAUAAUUUUGGUCUACAAAAAUAGGAUUGGGUUAUGGAGUUGGUUAUCAUGGGAAAAGAUUAGUACCCCCAUAGUGCUUAUAAAAUUGGUACCAAUUAAUAAUUUGCUAUUUAUGAUUUUCGAUAAAAAUGGUUUUUAUAUGAAAUUUAAUUAUAAUUCCCUUCAUAUUUUAAAUAGAAAAUCAAUUAAAAAUCUCUAUUUAGGAAUAUUAUGAAAAUCUUAAAAUUAAAGAAAACACCUUUAAAUUCUUCAAUAUAAAGGCAAAAUUUAAGGAUUGUCUUUUCAUUUAAAAUUUAUUGAAACAUUCCUUUAAAAAUAAUAAAAUAACAUUCUUUGUAGAUGAUAAUCAUUGAUGACUCUCCAAUAUUUAGGCAGAGUACUAACAAUUAUAUUUCACGGAAUGUUAUUUUAAUUUUAUUAAUUUAAAACUAAUUUUUUAAAGAACUUUUUAUACAACAAGAAUGAAGAAUGAUAUAAUUAAAAUUAAACCUCGAUAAUUAAAAUAAACAUAUAUGCACAUAAUAGGUGUAAACAUUAAUCUACAAAUGAAAUAUAGGCAAAAAUUGAUAAAUGCAAAUUUAGGAAUCGGAUUUUUAGAUAUAAAGAGACCACCUAAACUCUACAACAUGUAGACAGAGUUUGGAUGCGACUAUUUAUAUUUAAAAUCUCAUUUUAUUAUUUUAUUAUUCUUUAUUUAAUUUUAUUAUUAUUUUAAUUAAAAAAUAUAUUGAAAUUUUUAACAAAAUAAGAUAUCUUAAAUACCCUAUCAUAUAGGCAGUAUUCAAGGAUAAAUUAUAUUAUAAAAAGUUUUCAUACAAAUCCUUAAAAAUUCAAGAUGUUUUUGGGGGGUUUGGGUAAGUUUAAUGUUUUGAUUUUAGGGUUUUAACUAAUACCUAAGGAGUCGGGUUCCACUUAGGAUUGAGGGUUCGAGUUUCAUUAACGGUUUUGAUUUUAGGAUUUCAUUUAGGUUUUUAAUUUUAGAGUUUUUGCUUAGUUCUUCAAUUUAUGGUUUUGGGUUUUUAGUGAUUUACAAACCUCUUUAAAAAUUUUCAACAUCUAGGCAAGCUUUCAGAACAAGCUCAUAUUUUUUAAUUUUUUUGAAAAAUAGAAAAUCUUUAAUAUUUUCAUAUAUUUUCUUUUUCUUUAAAAUUAUUAUUAUUACUAUUUAUUUAUUUACCCUUAUCUAUUUUUCUAAAAAAAGGGUUUUUUAUAUUUUUACUUACUUUCCUUUUCAUUAAUUACUUUAUCAUUAUUAUUGUUAUUAAUAUUUUAUUAUAAAAAUAAUAAAAAAUAACAUAAGCAUGCCAAUUUAAAAAAAUUAAUACAUACAUAAUUUAGCCACCCUAAAUCAAACAUAAACCAAAAUAAUAAUAUAAUGGCAAGUUUAAUAACAAUAACAAUAAUAAAAGUAAUAACAAUAAUGAUGUAAAAAUGCCAGAUAAACAAUCAUGAGUCUUAAGCUUUUUACCUGCUAUUUGUUUUGUUAUUCUUAUUUGUUUAUUUAUUUAUAUUUUUUAAAUAUUCUAUAAUUAUGAUUUUUUUAAACAAUUCAAACUCUCUUUAAUAAAAUUUAAUUCCCUAACAUCUAGAUGGAAUUAAACCUUUUAAAACUCAAUUUUGAAUCCCUUCAUCAUCUAGGCAGGGGUUUAAAAUUUUCAUUAUUAUUUUUUAUCAUUAUAUUUUAGAACACUUUAUUUUUAUUAUUACUUUUAAGAAGCAUGAUGGAAUUAAUAAAUUUAAAUGAAUGGAGAAUAAAUUACAUUUAAAGUGAUGUACAACAUGGAUAUUAAACUGCACAAAGACUAAAAUAAACAUAGAAAUGAAACUAAUAAGAAAAUUAAGUAAACAUGCAUGAAGCUCAAAUUAAACUCAAACAACAUAAGAAAAAUAUGCAUGAACAUGAGUGAUAUAACAUAUGCAUGAAAAUGAACCUUAAAAAUUAAACAAACUUUCAACCUCACAUUUUAUGUCUUUGUUUAUAAAAUUUUUAUUAUUUAAAAAAAAAACCUAAACAACACAUCAAAAUACAGACUUUUAAAUUUAAUCCUUAAGUUGCCUUUGGUAAACCCUUUACCAGUUUUUUUAUGGCAAAAAAAAAAAAAAAAACAAAAGUGACUUUGUUACAAAAAGGGGUAUAGGAUGCACCAAACAAGACUGGGUUUCUUUGACAAAGAAGGAAAGAACGAAGCUUGGUCUUGAAAGCUCUUCCCUGCCAUGCUUUUAUCAUUCUCAUACAAGUAUGUAACAAAGAAAGAAAAGAAAAAUAACAUAACUAGUAAACGUAACAGGAUAUGAAGAUGACAAGCAUUGAACAUGCUUAUGCAAACAACGCAGAGAAAUAUGCACGUGGAAGGAGACAACCAUAUUACCUUUCUGGUUCCUUUUAUCUUUCCUUUUCUGCUACCUUCGUUUUCUGCCGCCCUCUUUUCUUCUUCCUUUUCUUUUUUUUUUUUAUUUUUUUGCGUUUUCUGCUUCAGCCGCUUGCUGCCACUGGUUUCCUUCGUUCCUCCCUCUUUUUUUGGUUUCAACCUUUUUGUUUUCUGGUUCCUUCUCUGCUCUAUACUUAUGUCAUUUCCUGCUCUUUCCUUUCUGCUUUAUAUUUUUCUUGCUGUUGAAAACUCCUGUUUUGCGCCCCCGAAAGUCCUCUUUUCUCUACGUCCUUCUCUAAUUAUUUUUCUGCUUUCGUUUUUUGCUUCAAUGCCGCUACCCUCUAUUUAUUAUUAUUAUUAUUUUUUUGCUCCUCUCUCUUUUUUUUUUCGGUGCUGCCUCGUUUUGCUAUAUUGUUCUUUUUUUACGUUUUUGGUUUUCCCUUUUCCCCUUGCCAUUCUGCUCAUUUUUUCCGCUUGCAAUUUCCUCUCUUUUUCUUUCUCGCAACUCCCCUCCCUGCUAGUUUUUUUUUACGCUUUUUCUGCCUCCUUCAAAACCGUGUAUCAGCAGUUCUUUCCCCUAGGAAAAAUCCCACGUUCCAGCCCAGUUUUUUUUUUUUUCCAGUGUUCUCCUCUCAACCCACGUCCCAUGUGCAUGAAGCAUUUUUUUUUUUUUUUUUGCUUCAAAACUCCACGUGCAGCAGGCCUCCUGUUGUCCCAUGCAUAUUUUUUCUGUGCAUGUGGCUUCAAGCCAUUUGCAUUUCAAACCAUUGCCUUUCAGUUUUUUUUUUACAUGUUUUUUAUACAUCCAAGCCUAACCGAAUGGGCCCAAGCUUUAAAAUAACUUAACAAUUUUAUGACCUCGAUUUUUUUUUUUUUUGUUUUAUCUUCAUUUGGGCUCCCAUUUGCUUUAGGCCUAAUUGUAUUAUUAUUUUUAUAUGUUUUAUUUAUUAUUAUUAUUUUUUUAUUAUUAUAUUUACUAUUAUAUUAUUUUUAUAUUUUAUUUAUUUUUAUUUGGUUUUCGUUUAAUGGCUAACGAUGGGCUAUUAAUAGGCUUUUAAGAAUGGAUCUUUAUUGGGUCCUUAUCAAGGCCCAUAUUGGACCAUUCAAGAAUGGGUCGUGUAGUAGACUCGAAUAAUGAUGAUUGAGGCCCAAUUAUAAAAACCAACCCAAAUUAAAACAAUAAAAAAUUCAGACAAAAUUAAGUGUCUACAACUAUCCUUCUUUGUAUAUUUAUAAAGAUUAGGAAUAAUACAAAGACAUAGACAACAAUUUUGUCCAUAAGUUACUUCCUAAAGCAUUUUCUAAUUAUUUUUGUUUAUUUUAUGUUUAUUUUAUUUUAUUUUAUUUUAUUUUAUUUUAUUUUAUUUUGUUCUUAAGAUUGAUACACAAGUUAGAGAACAAGAAUAAUCGGGAUUGAACCACAAACCGAAAAUAAAGAUGACUAAGAUUAAACCACAAUUCGUAAAAUAAAAGAUGAUAGAUUGAACCGCACAUCAAAAGAUAAAAACGUCUAAGACUAAACUGUAGGUCAAGAAACAAGAAUGACCGAGACUAAGUCACAAGUUAAGAAAAGAAUGACCGAGAUUGAAUCGCAAGCUGAAAAAAAAAAAAGAAGCAACUGGGAUUGAGCUGCAAGUUAAGAAAUAAAAAUGAUUGAGAUUGAAUUGCAAGUUGAGAAAUAAAGAUGAUCGGGACUGAGCCACAAGUCAUGGAACAUAGAUGACCAGGAUUGAACAGCAAAUCAAAAAACUAGGAUGAUCAAAACUAAACUGCAAGUCAAAAAAUAGGGAUGACCAAGAGUUGAACCGUGAGUCAAAAAAAAAUGAUAGGGAUUGAACCAUGAGUCAAGAAACCAAAGUGACUAGGGAUAAAGUUUCUUUCAGAGGCUAUUGAAACCUUAUUUUGAAAAAUAUUCUGUUUCCAUUUAAUAUCUUCUCAUGAAAAUGUUUAAUAUCAUUUAUCAAAAGAAUGUAUGCAAUACAUGUGACUACUCAAAUGAAUCUGAAUGGUGGAAAUGCAAUCAUUGAUUUUUACCAUAUGUUUCUUGAUUAUAUUAAUUCAAAAUUCAAGAUUAGUUCAGCUCUUUCAAGCCUUAAAGAUUGCCCUAAUAUCUUUCAUUUUUGUUUGUUCUCCAUUUCUUCUUCUUUUUCUUUUUUUUUCUCUCUUUGUUUUACCAAUGCCUUUUAUGACCCCCACUUAUCUGGAAACUUCUUCCCAAUUCUUUCUUUAGCCAUCCUUCUUUCCAGUUAAUUGAUUCUUGUUUUCUUGUGCUAUUAUCUUCCAUUCAUCCUUUUGAGCAACACAUAAGUCCAUUAUGAGCAUUAUCAAUAAUUAUCCUAACCUCUAGUGACAAAUACAAUGAUUUCAAAGUUCAAAAUUGAAUAUGGGUUUUAAUUAAUAAUUAGAAAUUUACUCUGGUUUGGAAAGAAAAUGAAAAGAUAAACCUAUUAGAAUAUAGAGGAUUUAAAAAUUUAAAAGGUAUUCAAGGAAAUCAAAUAUCAUUUUUUGAAUAGUUAAUAUUUGACAAACCAAGUUAACUCAAACCAGAUCUUUUCUUAAAAACUCAUUACACUUGCAAUCUUGCUAGAUUUGAACUCUUAUGACUAAUCCUUGGCCCAUGGCUUAUAGCUGAUGGAAACUUGCCCCAAACAUAUUUCUUUUACCCUAUAUUUGAUCUAUCCAGCUUUGUACUAUUUCGUUUUACCUUUGUAGGAUUUCACCUUGACUCCUCUUUUUUUUUUUAAAUCAUUUUUCAAGUUUUUAGCUUAAACAACUCUCUUGGUUCAAACUGCCCUUUCUUGGUUUUUAGUUUGUAUCCUUUUCCUUUUUCCUUUUUUUUAUUUUUCUUGUUUUAUUUUUUCAUUUUUUCAUUUUUCAUUUUCUUUAGGUGAAAUAUAUUUUUAUAGCAUCAGAAAUUAUUGGAGCUAGCAAUUCAUCCCUAUCCAUUUUUGCUAGGAUUAGGACUCCACCAGAAAAUGCCUUUUUCAUCAUAUACAGGCCUUCCAAUUAAGUGUUUACAUUCCCCCUACUAUCUUGUUGAUUUGGCAAGAUCUUUUUUAGAACCAUUUCUCUUUCAAUAAAACAUCGGGGCCACAACUUUUUGUCAUGAACUCAUAUAAUCCUUUUUUAGUAUAAGAGCCUCUUCUCUUCUAUGAGGUUUAAUUGGUCGAAGUGUUCUCGAACCUAAUCCACCUCAUCUAAUCUCACUUCCAUCAAUACUUGUAGAGAAGGAAUUUUUACCUCAAUUGGCAAUGCUGCCUCUAUCUCAUAUACUAGUGAAAAUGAGGUGGGCCUCAUUAAAGUUCAAACUGAUAUCUAAUAGGCAAGCAAGACAAAGGAUAAUUUCUCAUGCCAGUCCCUAUAUGUAUCAGUCAUCUUUUCCAAUAUCCUUUUUUAUGUUUUUGUUCAUAGCCUCUACAACACCAUUUAUCUUUAAGGGAUAUGGUACUAAAUGAUGAUGCUUUUAUUUUAAACUUUGCACAAACCUCUUUCAUCAUUUUUCUCUUUAAGUUGCUAGCAUUAUCAAAGAUAAUUCCUUUUGGAAUUCCAUACCAGCAUAUUAUCUCUUUUUUUUUUAUAAAUUUGCAUACCACUGAUCAUGAAACACUAGCACAAGAAGCUAUUUAUACCAAUUUGGUAAAGUAAUCAAUUACCACAAAGAUGAAAUGAUGUCUAUUUGAAACUUUUAGGAUUGUAGGCCCAAUCACAUCCAUUCCUCAUAUAAAAAAUGGCCAUGGAGGUGCCAACACAUGCAAUGGAAUUAAAGGAGAAUGAAUUUUGUUUGCAUAAAUUUGACACUUAUGACAUUUUUUGGCAUAAUUGAUGCAAUCAUUUUCUAAUAUAAACCAAUAAUAACAUGCUCUCAUUAUUUGUCUGCCCAUCAUAUGUCCAUUGGCAUAUAUUCCACAAAUCCCUCAUGGAUUUCUUCUAAUAUCUUUCUUACUUUCAUAACAUUUAAACAUUUCAACAAUAUCUUAUCUUGACCUUUCUUGUAUAAAAUCUCUAUAUUGAGCACAAACCAUGCUACUAAUUUUCAAAUAAUCCUCUUGUCAUUCUCUGAAGCCUACUCAGUAUAUUCUCGACAUUUAAUAUACUGUACAAUGUCAUAAUAACAGGGCCAAUGAUCUAUUUUUUCCUCUAUAUUUUGAACAAUAGGCCGGUGAAUCCCACAUCUGUACUAUAAUGGGUUCAAUUCUUGUAUUAGCAUUUAACUUGAACAUAGUGGUCAAAGUAGCUAAAGCAUCAGUAUCUUGAUUUUCUUUUUGAACAUCAUAUUGAAAUCGAAUUUCUUUGAACUACUUAAUCAAAUCAGUUAUAUGCUUUUGGUAUAACAUCAAUUUCGGGUCCCUAGUCUUUUAUUCACCUUUUAGUUGGUAAAUCACUAAGGCUGAAUCCCCAUAUACUUAUAAUAAAUCAAUCUUUUUUUAAUGGCCAUCUGUAAUCCCAUGGCACAUGCUUCAUAUUCAACUACAUUGUUUGGGUAAUUAAAAUCCAGCCUUACCAUGCUAGGAUAAUAAUUCCUUUCUAGGGAUAUUAAUACAACCCAAUGCCAUGCCUCAUUAUAUUGAAUGCCCCAUCGAAAAACAUAUUCCACCAUUUUUUCAUAGGCUUUUCAUCUUCAUCUUGCAAGAUUGUGAUUAAAUCUUUAUCUAGGAAAUCAAACUUUAUGGGCUCAUAAUCUUUUGCAACCCUAUCAACAAGAAAAUCAACUAUCGCACCUCUUUUUAUAGACUUUUGUAAUACAUACAUAAUAUCAUACUUUGAAAGUGUGACUUGCCAUCUAGCUAUCUGCUUGAAAGGGAUGGCUUCUUAAACAUAAACCUGAGAGGAUCUAACUUCAAAAUAAGCCAAGUUGUAUGAUAAAGCAUAUACUACCUAAGCCUAUCGGUAAUCCAUACCAACGUGCAACAUGUUUUUUUCAACUGGGAGUAUUUAGUCUCGUACUUCGUAAACUUUUUGCUUAAGUAAUAAAUGGCUUAUUUUUUCUUGCCAGUUUCAUCUCUUAACCCUAAUACACAACCCAUCAAGUUCUUUUGUACUAUUAAAUACAAGAUUAAUGGCCUUCCUAUAACAUGUGGUACCAAUAUCGAUGGGAUUGUCAAAUACUCUUUAAUUUUUUCAAAAGCACUUUAACAUUCUUCAUCACAACUGUUAAGAUUAUUUUUACAUGGCAUUUUAAAAAUUAGAUCACAUUUUGAGGUGAGUUGGGAUAUAAAAUGAGAGAUAUAAUUCAAUCACACUAAAAAACUUCUCACCUCAUUUUGCAUGUAUAAAAUUGUUAAAUUUCAAAUGGCUUGAAUUUUAUUAGGAUCUACCUUAAUACCAUUUUUACUGACUAUGAAUCCUAACAAUUUUUUUGAUUUAGAGUCGAAUGUACAUUUGGCCGAAUUUAGCUUGAGUUAGUACUUUCGCAACCUUCCAAAGAGUUUUUUGAGGUUAGUUACAUGAUCUUCUCCUUCCCUAGACUUUGAUAUCAUAUCAUCAAUAAACACCUCUAUCUCUUUGUGUAUCAUAUCAUGGAAAAGAGUAACCAUUACUUUUUGAUAUAUGGCACCAACAUUUUUAAGCCCAAAAAGCAUAAUCUUGUAGGAAAAUGUGCCCCAUAUUGUCAUAAAUAUAGUUAUCUCCAUAUCUUUAUGAGCCAUUUUGAUUUGGUUAUAUCCAAAAAACCCAUCCAUAAACGAGAAGGCAGAAUGCUUAGUAGUAUUAUCCACAAGGGUAUCAAUAUGUGGCAAUGGGAAGUUAUCUUUUAGGCUAACCUUAUUUAAAUCUCGAUAAUUCACACACAUUCUCACUUUUCCAUCUUUUUAAGGAAUUGGAACUAUAUUGGCUACCCAUUUUGGGUAUUUGGCUACUUAAAAAAAACCCUUACCAAACUGUUUCUUCACUUCUUCCUUUAUUUUCAGCAUCUUUGGCUUCAUGUGCCUCAAAUCUAUGUUCAAUAAUAUAUUACUAAGCCCAAGCAUAUCUUAAUAAGACUAUGCAAAUAUAUCCGCAUAUUCCUUCAACAAGUCCACUAACUUCUACUUUUCCAUUGGUGGCAGUGAAGAACUGAUCUGAACUUAUUUUUUAUUCUCUUCAUCUCCUAAUUUUAAUAGAUCUACAGUUUCUUAAAUGCAAAUAUAUCUAAAACUCGAUUCUGAAUCCCUUCAUCAUUUAGGUAGGGGUUUAAAAUUUUCAUUAUUAAUUUUUAUCAUUAUAUUUUAGAACAUUUUAUUUUUAUUAUUACUUUUAAGAAGUAUGAUGUAAUUAAUAAAUUUAAAUGAAUGAAGACUAAACUACAUUUAAAGUGAUGCACAACAUGGAAAUUGAAUUGCACAACGACUAAAAGAAACAAAGAAUUGAAACUAAUAAGAAAAUUAAACAUGCAUAAAGUUCAAAUUAUACUUAACCAACAUAAGAAAAAUAUGCAUGAACAUGAGUGAUAUAACAUAUGCAUGAAAAUGAACCUUAAAAAUUGAACAAACUUUCAACCUCACAUUUUAAGUCUUUAUUUAUAAAAUUUUUAUUAUUUUUAAAAAAACCUUAAACAACACAUCAAAAUAUAGACUUUCAAAAUUUAAUCCUUGUUGGCCUUAAAUUUAUUAAAAGUUUUGAUUUGACAAAACAAAAAUUUGCCUAACUUGAAUCAAUCUCUUAUAAUCUUAAAUUGAACAUUUUUCUAGCCUUCUAUCUUGCUAAAAUUCAUUUAGGAACCGAAAUAGGACAAUUUCUCGAAACAAAAUGGUUUAAGGCAUAUUUUGAUAAAAGGGAUCGAUCCCCUAAAAGAAGGGAUCGAUCCCUCCCUUACCAUAUCGAUCCCUUAGCAAAGGGAUCAAUCCAUUUUAAUUCCAGAAGCAAAUUUCAUGAAGUUUUGGCAAGAAUCAAUUAAUCCCCACCUAUAGGGAUCGAUUUGUUGAGGUUUCAAGCUUACCUGAUUGAUCCCUCCUUUAAAGGGAUCGAUCACUUUUUUACACAGAAUGCUUUCCUCGUUCAAAUUUAUACCUGUCAAAUCCAUCGAUGUUGAUAUCGCCUGUUGUAAGGAAGCCAUUGAUUUUGUAUCUCAUGGUGCACAACCAUUUUAUGGGAUGUUUGUUUAGGCAACAAGAUGAAAUGGGCAAGAAAGAGCAAGCUAUUUAUUACUUGAGUAAGAAGUUCACUAAAUAUGAGUCCAAAUAUUCUCGCUUGGAGAAAAUAUGUUGUGUAUUAGCAUAAACAGCCCAUAGAUUUAGGCAAUAUAUGCUAUACCAUACUACUUGAUUGAUAGCAAGGUUGGGUCAUCUUAAAUAUAUCUUUGAAAAACCAUCAUAGUCGGGGAGGUUAGUGAAAUGACAAGUCAUGCUCUCUAAAUACGAUAUUGUAUAUGUUGUGCAAAAGGCAAUCAAAGGAACUGUGAUAGUUAAAUUCCUUACAAAUAAUGCAAUUGAUGCCUAUAAGCCUAUGAAAUUAGACUUCCUUGAUAAAGAUUUGAUGACCAUAUCCUAAAUGGAGGAAGGGGAACCAAUAGAAAAGCCAUGAAAAUUUUUUUUUGAUGGAGCUUUAAAUGAUUUAGGGCAUAGGAUUGGAGUAGUUUUGAUAUCCCUUGAUGGAAAUUAUUAUUUGAGCACUACAAGGUUUGAUUUUAAUUGCACCAAUAAUGUGGCAGAAUAUGAAGCAUGCAUAAUGGGCUUGCAAAUGACAAUUGAAAAGAAGAUUGAAGUGUUAGAAGCAUAUGGGGACUCAAUCUUAGUAAUCUAUCAACUACGUGAUGAAUGGGAAACAAAAGAUUCAAAGCUGGUAUGAUACCAGAAGUUUAUGGUAGAUUUGAUCAAACAAUUUGAGAAGGUCCAAUUCUAUCAUGUACCUCUAAAAGAUAAUAUAAUCAAAUGGCUGAAGCUCUAUCUACAUUGGCUACAAUGUUUAAAGUGUGUAAUAAAAUGAAAAUCCAACCUAUCCGGUUGAAUGUGCAAGGAUCACCAGCAUAUUGUUCACUUGUUGAAGAGGAGAUUGAUGGCCUGCCUUGGUACUAUUAUAUCAUGUAAUAUGUUAAGCACCAACAAUACCCAGAACAUGUAUCAAAAAAUGAAAAACAAAUUAUUAGAAGAUUGGCUAUGAGAUUUUUUCUCAAAGGAGAAAUUUUGUAGAAGAAAAGUCGAGAUCAAAUGUUAUUAAGAUGCAUGAAUGCUAUUGAAGCUAAGAAGAUACUACAAGAAGUACAUGAAGAAAAUUGUGGAGCAUAUGCAAAUGGCCACAUGAUGGCUAGACAAAUCAUGAGGGUAGGUUAUUAUCUGUUGACAAUAGAGAGUGACUAUAUCAACUAUGCCAUAAAAUGUCAUAAAUGCCAAAUAAGAUUCAUGCUUCUCCAAUUCGUUUACAUGUUCUCACAUCCCAUGGUUGUUCGUCAUGUGAGGGAUGGAUGUAAUUGGACCCAUCACUUUAAAAGCUUCAAAUAGACAUCAAUUCAUCUUUGGAGUCAUUGACUACUUUACAAAAUGGGUCGAACCAGUUUCUUAUGCUAAUGUGACGAGGUGAUGGUAUGAAAGUUUAUAAAAAGGGAGAUAAUAUGUUGUUCUGGCUUUUCAGAAAAGCUCAUCUCUGAUAAUGCUCACAAUUUAAAUAGCAAGUUGUUAGCGAAGGUUUAUGCUCAGUUUAAGUUGAAGCACCAUAACUCGAUUCCAUAUUGCCCAAAGAUGAAUGGAGCAGUAAAAGCUACUAAUAAAAAUAUCAAUAGGAUAUUAGAAAAAAAUGAAUAAUACCUAUAAGGAUUGGCAUGAAAAGUUACCUUUCGCACUACAUGCUUAUAGGACAUUAAUAUGCACAUCUACUGAGGCCACUCAUUUUUCACUCAUAUAUGGGAUGGAAACUAUGUUGCCAAUCAAGGUGGAAAUUUCUUCUUUGAGAGUCUUGAUGAAAGUAGAUUUAGAUGAAGCGAAAUGGAUCCAGAAUCAUUAUAAACAAUUGAAUCUCACUGAAGAGAAGAGGCAUAUAGCUCUUUAUCAUGGUUAGUUGUACUAAAGAAAAAUGAUACAAGCACAUGAUAAGAAAGUUCGAUUUAGGCAUUUUCAUGAGGGAAAAUUGGUUUUGAAGAAAAUUCUUCCAAAUUAGCAUGAUAAUUGAAGAAAAUGGAUGUCAAAUUGGAAGGGUACAUAUGUAGUCAAAAAAACUUUUUCGGGUGGAAUGUUGAUCUUGGCAGAGAUGGAUAGGGAUGACUCACAAAACUUGAUAAACUCAGAUGCUAUGAAAAAAUACUUUGCUUGAAAAAAAGACAAAAAAAAAAGAAAAAAAAAAGAAAGAAAAACAAAGACAAAGAAGAAAAACAAAAAAUGAAUAAAAAAUAAAAAGGGACUUAUAAUUAAAAAUCGAAAAAAAAGGCAAUUUGAGUCAAAGGAAAGAUCUAAGUUGAAAACUUGAAAAGGCGGCUUAAAUGCAAAGGAAGUCUAAUUUCAAAGUACAGGGGGCAAUGUCCAAUACAAUGAACUUGGAAGGAUCAAGUGCAUCAAUGGAAUAGGUUUCUUAAGAGAAAGAAUUUUGGAAUAUUGUUCAUGAUUGUCUAAAUAUUCACUAUCUAAAUACGAUUCCUUUAUUUAAAUUUUAUGCUAAUGUUCAAGUUUCUCAUUGGGCACGUCCUUCUACCUUCCUAUAAUAAAUAUUCAUCUUUUUCUAAUUUACCUUGCUUUACGAUAAUCUUUAUUCUCACAAAUAAAGGAAAUGUUAAUUUAUCACACUGGUCAUGAAAUUUGGAAUAUAAUAAAUAAUUGAUAAUAUUCAUAAAAGGUCUUACAUUAUUUUGUGGAAGUCAAGAAUAACAAAGUUAAAACAAAGAUUAAGAAAAGGAGAAAAGAUUUGGAAAGUACCCAUUUUCAAACUCAUCAAAUCAAAGUAAAAACUUGCUGAAAGUGGUGUUAGAUACUGGUAGCAACAAAUGAUCAUCGUAGUUUACAAGAAAACACUCAUAAAAUGUGCAGACCAGGAUUGAGAUUGGUUGUUUUUUUAAAAAAUGAAAAAUUAGAAAGGAUUGACUUAAAAUACCUUGUUAUCACAAUUUGGAUGCAUCAUAGUGGUUUCUAAAAAUACUUACAUUGCAUGUAUUGCAUUCAUUACAUUCACGAAUUACAUAUAUUCUUUUAAAAUUUUUUUUUGAACUUUGGGAUUUUUCUAAAGGCUAAAUCAUUUAGGCAAAAAGACCAAGGUAUGGGAAAUAAUUUCAAAAUAGGCGUAACUCGUGAAACCCUCGAGUCAUAAUAUCAUGAGGUACUUUCAUAUAGAUUUUUUUAAAAGUUUAAAGGCCUCUUUUUAGAGUAAGCCAUUUUCAAACAAGAUUUUUUAAAGUUUCAAGGCCUCUAUUUAAGGGGGGCCAUUUUCAAACAAGAUCUUUUAAAGUUUUAAUACCUUUGAUUAGAGGAGUGUUCAAAGAUCUCGAGAUUUGUUAGACCUUCAAGUGGGAUCUUGUAUUUUUUUUUUCAAAAGUUGUUGAGCAUUUGUUUACAAAUAGUAAAAAAAAAAAACUUUCAAAAGCAUCAUCAAGACAAAAUUGUCAUCUAUGUCUUUGUAUUAUUUUUUGUGCUUAAAAAUAUGCGAAUAGGGGUAGCUGUAAACACUGAAUUUUUUUCAGAACAUUUUUUAGUAAGGGUGACUCAGGACCAUUUACAAACCAUAAAGAGCCCACAAAUUGGUCCAUUUAAAGACCCAAUUAUAAGCCUAAAUAAAGCCUAUUUGAAGCCCAUAAAAAGACCCACUUUAAGAACCCAUAAAAUGCAUUAAUAUUCAGGCUUAUAAUAAACAAAGUAAAAUGAGACCCAUGUAAUUAUUGUCAAAUUUUUUCACAUAAGAUUUAUGUAGAGGCUACCUUUUCACGUGUAUGCAUUAGGAGUAAGGAAUAAAUGAAGCAAAUAAGCCCCAAAGUCAACUUUAGUCAAAUCUAGUCAAACUUGGUCAAUAGUGUUAAAAUUAUACAAGACUUGAUCAAAAUGGAUAGAACCAAGGGCAAUUCUCAAAAUUCACAAACUAGUUGGAAUCAAUGUGGUUUAAAGUUAAAAUUGGUGAUUUUUAAAACACUAAAAAUUUUUAUUGCACUUGGGGAAGUACAAAAUUACCAAAAUGCUCUUUAGGGGUGUUUUCGUAAUUUGACCUUCCUAGCAUCAAAUUUUCAUAAAAACUUCCAGAUCAUAGCUAAAUAUUUUUUAUUAUUUUUGAUGCAUUGAAAACCUAAAUCACACAUUGGGAGGUGUGAAAUUAACAAAAUGCCCUUUAGGGAUAUUUUUGUAAUUUGACCUUCUCGAGGUUAAUUUUUUAUGAAACUUUUUAUAUCAUAAUUUUACAAUAUUUGAUUUUUUUUAUACAUUUGAAAUCACAAUAGUCCUCGAGAGGUGUGAAAUUACUAAAAUUCACCUUAGGGGUAUUUUUGUAAUUUUACCUUCUUGAGCAUAGAUUUUUAUGAAAAUUUUUAGAUCUCAAUUUUAUAAUAUUUAAUGAUUUUUGGUGUUUUAAAAUCCUAAAAUGAGCAUGAAAACAUUGAUUUCUAAGAAAAUAGCUUAAAUAUUGAAACUUUGUACUAAAGGUAAGAUGUUCUUUUCAUUUGGUUUAAGGGCUAUAAAAAUCCAACCUUUAUAGUGAAUAUAGGAACCAGUAGAUCUCAUAUUGAAUUUUGAUCUAAUGGUUAAAGCUUACUCCUUGAAAAAAAAAAAAAAAGAAAGAACUUUGGCCCUUAGAUGAGAUUUAAUCCAAAGGCCUAUAUUCAAUCUUUCAAAGAUAUUUGAGUGGCUUUCUUCUUUACAAGGAGAAUGAGGGGAAGCUUCUUGGAAAAAAAAAGAAAGGGGAAGGGAAACAGCUAAAGGUAAAAAGGAUGGAGAUUUAACAGCUUAAAGAUUUUUUCUAGAUAGAAAAAGAAGGGAAGAACCCACGAAGAACCAAAAGAAAAAUAGCAAAGAGGAAGGAAUCAAGGGAAACCACCAACAAAAAGAGAAGGGAAGAUUAAGGAAGAACCAUAAGCAAAAAAAGGUAGUAUUUUUGUUCACCUUGAAUAUUCCCAUAUACCACAUUUUUUAGCAUGAAAUCAUAGUCAGGUUUUCUGGUAUAAAGUCAUAUACCUCUCAUGUAAGUUUAACAAGGAUUUAAGCUGUCAUAUUUCUGUGUGGUCUUACCCUUUGCAUGCCCAUAAUACCAGCUAGAAGAUAACGGAAGUAAGCUCCUUUCUUUUCUUCUUGAAACCAGGAUUUCCAUAAAAACGUCCCCUUUCCUUUUAAUGUUUAUGUUAUAGAAAAUAAAUAUUAAAUGGAAAAACCAAUUUUGUUUUAUUCCUUUCUUGUUCGGGUUACAUCUAGUAACACAAAAAAAAAAAGUUUCUAGAUUUAAAAGAUGGUUUUCUUCCUUUCAUGUUCAGUUUGCACCUGUUAGUAAAAAAGAAAAUGGCUUUCUUCCUUUCAGAUCAGUUUGCACUUGCUAGAGUAAAAAAGAAUAUGUUUUAUUCCUUUUAUGUUCGGUUUGCACCAAGUAACGCAAAAAAAAAAAAAAAAAUAGUUUUUGGAUUUAAAAGACGGUUUUCUUCCUUUCUUGUUCGGUUUGCACCCCUUAGUGUCAAAAAAAAAAAGGUGGCUUUCUUUCUUUCAUGAUCGAUUUGCUCCUGUUAGAGUAAAAAAGAAGAUCACUUUCUUCUUUUCAUGUUCGGUUUACACCCAGUAACUUAAAAAAAAAGGUUUCUGGAUUUAAAAGAUGGUUUUCUUCCUUUCAUGUUUGGUUUACACUUGUUAGUGUAAAAAAAAAAAGGUCGCUUCUUCCUUUCAUGAUCGGUUUGCACCUUUUUGAGUAAAAAAGAAGAUGGCUUACUUCCUUUCAUGUUCGGUUUGCACCCAGUAAUGCCAAAAGAAAAUGGUUUCUGGAUUUAAAAGAUGGUUGUCUUUCUUUCAUGUUCGAUUUACACCUAUUAGUGCCAAAAAGAAAAUGGUUUGCUUCCUUUCAUGUUCAGUUUGCACCUGUUACUGUCAAAAAAUAGGUAGCUUUCUUCCUUUCAUGUUUGGUUUGCACCUAUUAAUGCCAAAAAUGGUUUCUGGGCUUUAAAAUCUUAGCAUUUCUUCCUUCCAUGAAAGAUUGAAAGCCUUGCUCAUCUUGGGAUGUCCUUGCUAAAACAAAAAGAAAGGGCUUGCAUCCGUUACAGUUCUAACAGUUUCUUUUAAAAAAAAAAAAAGAAAAACAUGCCAAGGAUAAAUUUUGUGUGAAAAAUGAUGGUGUAAAACUGGAAAGGCUUUAGGUUUGGUUUUUUGCUUCAUUUUGUAUUACUUGAUCUUAUUUUUCAUCACUUCCUUUUGUACCUGGCCUAUUAGAACGUCACCUCUAUCAUGCAUGAUGUUUCUUUCCUAUUUGAAUUUUCUGCUGACAGCUAUAAUAAUGCUUUUGUUCAUAUUUGCUGGUUCUUUUCAAGUGUAUGGUUUAUCAUAAGCUUAUGGGUCUGGCUUGCGAGUAUUGCUAGAUUGAAACCUUUUUCUUUUUUUUUUUUUGUUAUAAUAAUAAGUAAUAUAUUUUUUUUUGGGUGCAUAUUCUGCUUUAUUGUUUUGCAUUACAUGAUUUUAAGAGAAAAUAAAAUUUCUGAUGAUGGGACUUUGAAAAUUCCGAGUAAUGAUUCUCGAAAUUCCCUAAGUAAAAAAAAUCUUCUAAAAAUUACAAAAACAUUUGAAUAUUUAGAAGUUUCUUUUUAAUACAAAAAACUCCAUUAUUUUCUUUAAUUUGAGAACUUUUAGAUAAAAAUAUGUUUUUUUUUAAAUAAAUUUAUGGAUAACAAUAUUAUUACAUGCUUUGUUUUGUAUUAAAGCAAAUGAAAAAUCUUCGAGGAUGAGAUUAAAAAAAAAUUUGAAUAGUGAUUCUUAUGGAAUCUCUAAGUAAGAAAAUUAAUUUAAAAUGCCACCAAUGUAUAGAAGCUUUUAGAUUAAUUAUCGAUAAAGAUUUCUCGUUUAAUUUUAAAUGGUAUAGAAAUGAUUUUUUCAAAAUAUUAUUUGAUUUUAAAUUAUAGAUAUUAUACUUUACAAUUUUUUUAUUAUCAAUAUUGAAAAUAAAUAUAAAUCACUAAGGAUAAGAUUUUUGAAAAUUUUGAGUAGUGAUCUCAAAGUUUCCUUAGGUGAGAUGGUUCCUCUUAAUACUACCAGAAUGUUUUUAGAAAAUUUUCAAUAUGUAAGGUUUUUAUUUAUUUUUCAAGCUAUUAAUAAAAAUAUGUUUUUAAAGAAAAUUAAGGAAAUUAAAUUUUAAAUACCAAAAUUAAAACUAUUUUAGUCAUAAUUAAAGAAUAACACAGAAUUAAUUGGUAUCAUUUUAAAUGGGCAUAAUGAGGGUGCUAAUCCUUCUCCAUGUAUAACUAACUUCGAAACCAAAACUGUUUUGCAAAUAUAAAAAUUAUCUUUUUGAUAAAAUUUUAAUUAAUUUUAAAAUUUUUAUUAAAGAGGUAAGUUUUAAUAAGUGGCCAAGCACACGGAGCCAAAAACAAAGAUUGGUGGCGACUCCCUUUUUGUUUUCAAAUUCGUCUAGUGGUUCUCAAAGCCAUUACGACACUGUUUGGUUAAGUUUCUUUGAUGAUGUAUUAUUUUUCCUAGAUUCUGCACUGUUUUUGAAAGUGAGUUUGUUGAGCUAAUUUUUUUAUUGAUUUAUGUUAUUUUUUUAUUGAUUUAGGUAGUUAACUCAUAGAUCUAGGUAGCUCAAUUUUAGUUUAUUCCUUCUAGAGAAUUAUAGAUCUAAUUUUCUUCCCUAAAUUGUUAGUUUCUAGCUUACAAAAAUCGUUUUGGUUUCCCCUUACUUUUGUUGAAUCUUGCAAUUUUUCUUUAGUUUGGGUUCUUCAAUUUGAAUUCUCAUAUUUUUCUUUUAGUGUACUUUCAAAUUACGGUUCAUAAUCAUUUGGAUUUGCAUGAUUUAGAGUUAGAAACUCUUAUUGAAAAUCAAUUUUUUAGCUUGCAAAUUUCUUCUCGAUUUUUGCUUCUUCAUUGUGUUUUAUGGUUUUGCUUUGUUUUAUUUGUGCAUUAACUUUUUAUGCUCUUGCUUUUUAAUCUUCAUUUCAAAUAUGAAUUCAUUUAGUUUAGUUAUUGUAUUUUACAUUUUUUUAGCAUUUAUUUUACCUAGUUUCCAUUUUGAUGCUUUCUUUAGUUUACUUUUAUGUAAUUAGUUUAACUUCAUGUUUAAUCUUUGAUUGAACUAACUUUAAAAGGCUAUGAGGAUAAAAGAUACUUAGUUUAAGAACCUCGUUAGCUAAUACUCGUGGGAUCAACAUCUUGACAUUUUAUUCACUAUUGUUACUUGUACAGCUUGUGCACUUGCAGAAUUUCUCCAAUCAAGUUUUUGGCAUCAUUGCUGAGGAUUAAAUGUAAAGAGUCUUAGAUUAAUAUCAUGCUCCACCAUGCUCUUCUAUAGAUUGGUUCACCCUUAUUGUAAUUUUGUUAGGCUAUUUACUAACUUGCCUUGUUUUUGUUUUCUUAGGUUGUACAUAACUAACUUUCUUUGCAUAGGUUUUUGUUUAGGAUUUGCUUUUUUUCAUAUAUGGGAUUCCAAUACUUAUGAAUGUAGACACCCUACUCUAAAAAUAAAUAAAAAGAUAAGAUAAACUUAAAAAAAGGAGAUAAAGCAAGUGAUAAGAUUUGGUGACUAAAUUUUAAAAUUCAAUUGCUUCUUGAAAUUAAAAUCCAAAUUGAAAGGGAUAUGAUGCUCAGUUUUUAAAUUGAGAUUGUAUCUUCAUCAUCAUUAUUUAAUCCAUUAUGCAAACCACCAAGGGAGGGCAAGAAACAGAUUACAUGAAAUAUCAGAGAAAGAGUCAUAGAAAGACCACGACCUUCACUCCAUCAUAGUUCAAUCAUAACCACUGCCAUCAGCCACCAUUGCAGCCUAUAGUAGAAAGUCUCGAGAGAUCAUCCUUCACCGCCACAAAUACCAUUUGCACCACACCAUCAAUACCACAUUGUCACCUCUGCCUAAGCACCUAACCAAAUCCUACCAUAUGUGACUUAGACCCAAUUACCAACCAUGAAUUCUAGCCUUAAAUAGUGACUGAAAACCACCUAGCCACUCUCAUACCGCCAUUGCCACAAUCAUCAACACAAACCGACAGAAUCAAUUCUAUAAAAGGCAAAGACGGUCAAUGUUACAUCAAUUCCAAAAAUAGAAGACAACAAACCUAAAAUAGAACCAACACAAUUCGGUAAUCGGAGGAAGUAGACAUAAUCCAAACCCAAAAAAUAAACCCAGUCUUCAAUAAGCCACAAACUUGUAGUCAUAUUUCAAAGAAAACUCAAAACCACCAAACCUGACCCUAAACGACCGACACUACCACUAUCACCAUCAUCCAUCUCCCAUCAAAAGUCACCCAUUGCUAGUAAAGUGCGUCAACGAAAACCUAAUAAAAAACAAGGUAAAGUCAAAAACUAAGGGAAAGCUAGAAACAAGAAAACCUUUUUGGGUUUCAAGUAAGUACUCUUACCAGGGGUUUUUAGGGCUUCCAAGUCAUUGAUGAGGCAGCCUAGGAAAGGAGGAAGAACAUGUUAUGGAAAAGUGGCCAAAGAAGCAGCAUCAAGGGAGAUUCAAGUGUUUAAGUCCAUGCUCUUUAAAACCUCGAUCUAUGAAAUUAGAGAUGCUUUCAUGGUAAACUAACUGCACUAAGUAAAAGAGGAGGCCAAAAUGAUUUUUUGAGUGAAAUCUGGGCUUGAAUAGUCAUUGGUAAUGGUGGCCAACUGCGACUAGAGACGACAGCAAUGGUGGCAUUUUGCAAUAAUCUGAAAACUUAUGGAGUUUCCAACCAACCUUUGUCCUUUUUUAGAAAGAGAAAAAGACAGAGCAGAAAUUGUAGAGAGAGAAAAAACUUGCAAAAAUGAAGAGGAAAGUUUAAAAGAAGGCUUUUAUAGCUUUGAUAAAAUAGUGCCAUUUUAGCUAAAGAAAAUGGGUUCCCUUUGACCCGUUUCAAGAAUCCGCGCAUCAAACACUAAAUGACUCGACUCGAUCGCUUGACCCGAUCAUUUGUCCUAGCCCAGCUCCACGCCAUUUGAGCUAUAAGCUGAGCAUUUUCCUAUGUGUGAAGCUGAGCCGUGGCAAGUUUUCGGAGUCAAGCUAUUAACUGUUUUAGGUAUUCUUUUUCCAUUUUUGUUAUUUUGCUCAUUAUUUAUCAAUUACUUUUCGAAUGAAUAAAAAAGGAUUAAUAAAUAAAGAAAAAUAUUUCAAAAAAUGUUUUAAAGAAAAGUUGAAAGUAUUAAUUUUCUUUGAAGGUAAAAUUUUUAAAAGAUAUUUUUUGAAGAAAAGUUGAGUAUAUCAAUUUUCCUUGAAAAUAAUUUUUUUAAAAAAAAUACAUUUCUUAAGAAACAUUUUUUAAUGAAAAGUUGAAAGUACUAAUUUUCCUUAAAAAUAAAAAUUUCAAAAAAACAUUUUUUUGAGAAAAAGUUGAAAGUAUCCAUUUUUCUUAAAGGUAAAAUUUUCAAAAGAUAUUUUUUGAAGAAAAGUUGAGAGUAUCAAUUUUUCUUGAAAAUAAAAUUUUUAAAAAUAUUUUUCUGAUGAAAAGUUGAAAGUAUUAAUUUUCCUUGAAUAAAAGCAUUAAUCCUUUUUAAAAAGAAUUAAAAUAAGAAAAUAAAUCUUAAGAAAAAGUUGAAGUAUCAAUUUUCUUUUUUCUUGAAAUUUUUUUAAUGCUAAAUAAUCCAACGAAGAAGCCUCUGUAUGAGAAACAAUAGUUAUCUUGUAUACUCUUGAGGUGAGGGAAUUUUCUUAAUUUUUUGCUAAAAGUAUUAAAGUCAAUUAAGAAUAAUUUUUAAUAAUUAAUUAUUUGAUAAGGUUUUUUAAGGCAUAAUGGAUAACAUGAAAUUAAGCUGGUACCAUCUUUUGAUGGGUGUUGUGAGGGGUGCCAUAACCUUUCUCACACAUAAUCGUACUUUCGGACCUAGUUCUAAUUUUGUAAACAUUGAAUCUACCUUUUAAAGGUACCUAAGUCAAACUUAGAAUUUCUCUUUACAGAGGGACAGAUUCAGUUAGGUGGCCAAUUGCACCUAAAUAAAAAAGAUUGGUGGUGACUCUUUAAGUUAAUGUCUAGUAAUAGGUUUACGGAUCUAGAUAUUAUGACAGUUUGACAACUCCACUGGGGAUAUGCCAAGAGUCAGGCCAACAAAUAAAUUUAUGUUAUCCAAAAGCCUAGUAAAAUUAAUUUUUUUAAAAAAAUUUUUUAUUUAUUUUAUUUACUAUGUCAUUCAUAUGCAUGUGCAUAACAUAAGCUCUAUAUUCGAGCUCUGUUCCUCUAGGAGGGAGUAAAGUACCUAUGUUGUCAUGAGGUUUUAAUGGCUAGCAAAAUACUCCUACUCAAAUUAAACCCUUUCUGCUUGUAACCUAUAAUGGGCAAGUAUCAGAGUGCCUCACUAGUCUUUGAUGGACAAUGAUGUGAGGAACAAUUUGAGAACCUUUAGACCAUUAACCUUAAACCAUAUAUAGUGACCAUAAGGAACCUAACCAGUAGUUAGAGCCUUACCUUCCCCUUUUGUAAAAAAAAAAAAACCAGUAGUUAAGUUACAUUUUUUGCAAUGAUUGAUUUUUCUUAUAUGGAAAGUAACUUUUGUAUAUGUCAUGUUGCAUGAAUUGUCAUGAUAAAGUGCAUUUUAGUUGAAUUUCUUUUUCUUUCAUCUAUUUUUCUUUUAAGAUAACAUUAGGUUGCAUAUGUUUUUUGCAUUCAUUUCGCAUGUGUUAACUUGAAAUCUUGGUGGUUGCAUAUUAAGUUAUUUUUAUAGUCUUUCUUUCAUGACAUGAGCAUAUAGUAAUACAAGCUUCUUAAUUUGUGGUAAUCAAAGGUUCAAGGAUAGCUUAACUAUCAAAGACUUUUGUCUGACCUACCCAUCAUCCAUACAAUACUCAAUUACCAACAAAGCAAAUGGAAUAUGAGCAAAAUAACAGUAUGGAUAAGAUCAAGAAAGCUUAGGAAGAGAUAAAAUGGGAGUUAGCAAAGAUGAUGGAAAUGCUAGAGAAAUUAGAUAAAGGAAAAAUAGUAAAAGAAACCCUCAAUUCAAAUGAGAAACAUGAUAUUAUAGAUUCUCUCAGCCUUUUGGGUUUGGUUUAUAUCAAGGCCAAUCUCCUCAAAAUACAUAAGCCUCAUGAAUGUCAUUUUUUGGGGUAUAUCCUGAAAUGCCAUUUCAUAGCUACACUUACCCUACCUUUAGGGUAAAGGCCUAUGAUCCAAUUGAGGUUCCUAAUUUUGAUGAUCUUAAAGAGAAAGAGAGAUUGAAGAUGAAAACUUCUAAGGUGAUGAAAGAUUCAAGCACAUAACAAAUAAACCUUUUAGGAGAAAGAGUGUGAGCUAUCGAAGGAAUGGAUUAUUUUGGCUUUACAGAUGCAACUAAACUAUACUUAGUUCUAGAUGUGGUUAUCCUAUGAAAAUUUAAAGUUUUCAAAAUUGAAAAAUAUGAUGGAACAAAAUGCCCGGUAACUCAUGUUACUAUGUACUUUCAAAAAAUGGCAACCCAUGCUCAUGAUGAGAAAUUAUUGAUGUAUGUAUUUCAAGAUAGUCUUACUAGCUCAGUCGCGAGGUGGUAUGUCUAGUUAGACCAAGCUUGUAUUCAUUCCUAGAAUGAUUUGGCAAAGGUAUUCAUCGCCCAAUACCGACACAUUAUAGACUUAGCUCUAGAUCAUCUAUCUCUACAAAGUAUGGAAAAAAAAACCUUCUGAAAGCUUCAAAAAGUAUGCACAAAGGUGGAGAGAUGUGGUUGUUUAGGUUUAACCACCUUUCACUGAAAAAGAAACAACAGUUUUAUUUGUGAGUACUUUAAAAGCUCCAUAUUAUGAGAAAAUGAUUGGGAAUGCCGCUAAAAAUUUUAUUGAUAUGGUGAUCUCUAGGGAAAUGAUAAAUAAUGCCACUAAGAGUGGCAAGCUUGAAAAGGGAGAAGCCUUUAGUAUAAAGAAGGGUAGGAUGUCUAAAAGAAAAGAAAGUGAAGCUCAAGUUAUGAGUUUUGAAGGAUAACAGUUCAAAAGUUAUCCUCUAUACCCAUAGCUAGUAUAUCCUACCUAUUAUCCAACCAUUAAUCAUGUUGCACUAGUAUUUUACCAUCUCGUUUCAUAACCAGCUUACAAAACAACUUUUCAAACACCUACAUAUAGGCCUAGUCCUAUUACUACACUAGCUUUAAUGCCUAAUAACCAAGUGGGUGGUUUGAGGAGAUUUUGAAACAACUAAGAAAGGGCCUUCAUUGAUCCUAUCCUCAUGACUUACACUGAGUUAUUCCCAGAACUGGUUAAAAAUAACUUAGUAUCUUCAGUUAUUCUAGAACCAUUAAAGCCACCUUAUCCCUAAUGGUAUGAUGCUAAUGCCACAUGUGAUUACCAUAAUGGGAAUAUGGGUCAUUCUAUAUAAACUUGCCCUGCUUUCAAGUAUAAGGUGCAAAGUUUGAUCUAAAAAGGCUUGGUAAGCUUUGAUAAAUCAAAAAAAUAAGAUGUCAAUAAAAACCUUUCACCUGAUCAAACAAAGGCAUAAUUUUUGGAAGGACAAUGAUGUUAAUGCUAGUUGAAAGUUGCUUGGAUUUCUUUUACAGUAAUGCUAAAGUUUCUUUUAUGUAAUAAGAUUUCAUUUUUUUAUCAUUUUAAUAAAAGCAAGUUGAUGCAUUUCAUUACAUUUUCUCUUUCAUCCAAUCGUUAUUUUUGUUACAUUUUAUAUCCAUUUUAUUCCCAUUCUUAAAUUCUAAAUGGUGAAUGUUUGGAUAAUGAUAAAUAAUAAUUAUGGGAUUUGAUUUUGAAAACUCAUACAUAUUGAUCCAUGGAGACUAUUUAAGCAAAAAAAAAUCUGUGAGCAGAUAUCAUUCAUGAAAAGUAGAUAUGUCUUGGAGGCAUCUAUUAAUCUGUCUUUGUUCAAAAUAUGGUCGUCAAUGAAAACAUUCACAUUUAAGGUGAAAAAUGGCCAUUUUUCUUUUAUCUUUCAUAAAAAUACUAGAAGAGACAAGUAAAUGCCCUUCAAUGACCACUUUAGUAUUCUUGGAACUCCGACACUGCAUAGCACGGGGUUAUAUUCAAAAUGCAGCUAGAUUGUGGGUCAAAAAGGGUGACAUUGGAGCUACACAAUAAAAGGGGGAAGAGCAUGAACCUAUGGCUAUGCUUGAACAAAAAAAUCCCCUAUCCAACCAUCCCACACUCAAGGAACCUUAAAGAUGGUCUUGCUUCAGAUAAAUAGCUUGCAUUCAAUGGUUGGCAACACAAACAGUAGAUUGGAGACUAUAGAGGAAACUCAACAUGAGCUGGUAACACAAGUUCACCAUCUUCGAACUAAUGUUGAGCACAUGAGGUCUACAUACUCAUACAUGGGGUAGCCAUCUUCUCACACUCCUUAUCCUCAUCAAUCUUCCCAUUUUCCACCUCUACCACAAUGAACUUCACUAGUGUCAUCUCUUGUGUUUUCCCACAUUAUUAUAUUUUGAAAAUCUAACUUUGCAUUUUGGUUUGUAAAUAUUGGCACUUGAUCUUUAUAUCAAUAUAAUUCAUCUUUCUUUCUAUUAUUGUGUGUUAUUGUUGUGUGGCCUAAUGAUUGAUGAUUAAGUGGCCUUUAAUUGAUUUUCUCUCCUUUGGUUUCAUUUUGCUUUAUUUCAUCUUUUUUGCUAUGACAAAAAGGGGGAGAAAUAUUGUAUGAAAAAUUACUUUGAUGACUCUAAUGAUAUUGGUUUGGUGAUAUUGAGUUUGCUUAGUUGGCUUAUAACUAAUGCUUAAAUUUAAGGGGAGUUGGUUUUUUAUAGAUUAAGGGGGAGCUUGUUUUUUAAAAGGGAAAAUGUUUUUAAGCAAAAUUUUCACUUGGUUUUGUCAUAUCAAAAAGUGGGAGAUUGUUGGCCUUGAAUUGAUUAAGAGUUUUGAUUUGACAAAAUAAAAAUUUGCCAAACUUGUUUCAAUCUUGUCUAACUUAAAUUGAACAUUUUUCCACCCUUCUAUCUUGCCAAAACUCAUUUGAGAACCAAAACAACUCAAAUUCUCAUAACAAAACAUGGUUUUAUGCAAGUUUUGAUAGAAGGGAUCGAUCCCCUAGCAAAAAGGAUCGAUCCUGUUUUCAACCAUAAUCAAAAGUUCUUAAGAUUUAUCAAAAACUGAUCGAUUCCCUCCCUAUAGGGAUCGAUUAGUUAGGGUUUCAAGCUAAACGGAUCGAUCCCCUCAUUGAAGGGAUCGAUCACUUUUUCAUACAAAAGGUUUGUAUCGUGCAAUUUUCCAGAAAAAGAUCAAUCCCAUCACAUAGAGGAUCGAUCACCUAAGGCAAGGGAUCGAUCCCCUCUUAAAAGAGUCGAUAAGUUGCUCAGACAGAAUGUUCCACAGUUCAAAAACCCAAAAAAAAGAUCGAUCCCCUCUUAAAGUGAUCGAUUGGGUAAGGCAAAUCAUGCACAAAAUCGAGCCUUCUCUAAUAUGAACCAAUCGAUCCCCUAUGACAAGGGAUCAAUCCCCUGAAGGCUAACAAUUCCCAACAGCUAUUUUUUUGUCUAAAUUUUUCUAGGCUUAAAGCAUUAAAUGCAAUCCAAUGGCUCUCAACUACUUCCUAACUAUAAAUCAAGCAUUUCACUAUAGACCAAAUGUAACAACAACCAAGGAAACUUAUUGCCAUUCACCUACCACUUUACUCAACCAUUCAAAGCUGUUCCAAGUUAGAAAAGUGCAUAAUUCAUAUAAGUUUUUCUUUAUUUUGUUGUCUAUACCACUGUAUACUUCAAAUUAGCCAACACCCAACCUUUGAGAGGUUCUUAGAGCUUGCAAAACACUUUAUAUCUCUAUACUGUGAGUUUGUGAGCUUAAGAGGGAGGAUAACCCUUAAGAGUAUAUUUUGUUAAGUUUGUAAAGCUUAGAGAAGCUUAGUUGUAAUCUUCAACACUUAUAGUGGAUUUAACUCCUUGGCAAGAGAGGCUAGGGGAGAGGACGUAGGUGCCUAAGAAAAGACUAAACCUUUAUAAAUCUCGGUGUUAUAUUCUCUAUCCCUAUCUCUCAUUUACUUUCAAUUAUUAUGUUUAAUUGUUUAGCAAAAUUUAUGCUUAUUGAAUACUAUUUUUCAAAAUUUCAUUAAAACCAAUUCACCCCCCUUCUUGGUUUAUUCCAAAUCUUUGAGCUAACAAUUUUUAUUUUCAGGAUCAAGUGCUUACCAUUACACCAAAACUGUAGCUGAUAGUGAAGACGCAACUCUAUUUCUUUAUUCUCUUUUGGCAAUGCAGAGCCCCGUACUAAGCGACAGAUGGACAUAAAGGGCUUUGCAAAGCCUUUAUAGGAUACCUCACCCAUUGAGCCUCGGCAGGUUGGGUUGCCAUACAUCGAAAUCUAAUCCACCAUGGGAUACCUCACCUAGAUGAAUUGACAUACCAAGUCUCUAAAGGAGACUGUUGGACCCUAUAAUCCAACAAUCUCCCCCUCAACAGCACCUGGGGGGACUCGAACCUACAACUUUGCUCUGAUACCAGUUUUCAAGAUCAAGCACUUACCAUUACACCAAAAGCUAUAACUGAUAGUAAAGGCGCAACUCUAUUUUUUUAUUCUCUUUUGGUAGCACAGAGCCCCGUAUUAAGCGACAGGUGGACAUAAAGGGUUUCGCAAAAGCCUUAAUGAGAUACCUCACCCAUUGGGCUUCGACAGGUUGGGUUGCCAUGCACUGAAAUCUAAUCCACCACAAGAUACCUCACCUAGAUGAAUCGACAUACCGAGUCCCUAAGGGAGACCGUUGGACCCCAUAAUCCAACAGUUUCCUUAUUCUUCUCUUUUAUGCUUUUAUUGCUUUAUGCUUACACAUUAAGGGCACUGUGUUGUUUAAGUUUGGGAGUAUGGGAAAAUUGCUCAAAACAUGAAAAUUUUUUUAAAUUUUCCUUGACUUUUUCCUUGAAAUUAAGCUUAAUAUUUGGUAGCUUGAAUUAUUAUUAUACUUUCUUUGAUUAGUUUUUUAUGAAGCCAAUGUGAGGUAGUGAUUGAUAAUGAAUAUAGCUUUAGGAAAAUAUUGAAUGUGUGUGAAAUAUGAGAUGAUACUUAGGUUUAGUGAAUUUUUGAAUAUGAUAUUCAUUUGUAAGUGGUGUUUUGAACGUUGAAUUGCAUUUUUUAUCUAGUAUUGAUUACAUAAGCAUGAGAUUGUUUUUGCAUUGGUCUUUAAAGUGUUGUUUCAUGAUUCUAGAAUUUAUUUUGAUUAUUUCUGGAGGUAAAAUCCUAAAGAACACAUGAUUAGGGAAAUGAUAUAGGCCAUUUUUAGAUCGUUUGAGCCUUUCAAGCCAACCUUGAUACAAUAUUACCAUAGUCAUCCCAUUCAAGCCUUAUGAUGCCUUUUUUUUUUGUUUUGAAACCACAUUACAAGCCUAUAGCCUUCAUUUUGCUAUUUCCUAUCUUUUUGGUCCCUUGCGCUAUUGUAUUUGAACAUUCAUAUACACUUGUGAACUAUGCAUUAUUAGGGAAAAAGGGCAGCAUUUGGAAAAAGAAUGGGAAAAUAAAAAAUUGAAAAAAAUUGAAAAGAAAAAGAAAAAAAGAAAAAGUUGUAAAAGAAAAGAAAAGAAAAGAAAAAACAAAGGCAAUAAAGUGGUGAUAAAGCAAAGAAUAGAAAGAAAAAUAGGCUAAAUCAAAGUUUGGGGGGUAAUUAUUUAUUCAAGCUUACCUUUCUUACCUUGAAAGCUCAACUAUGGAUGAUUCUAAACAUUUGAUGCAUUGUUAGGGUAUGUUAGUUUUAUAGGUUAAUGGUGAUCCAAGAGGGGGGUGAAUUGGAUCUCUCCAAAUUCUUCCCAAAUAAUGAUUUCAAUAUAGUUGAAUAAAAAUUAAGAUAAUAAGCUCUUUUGAUAAAAAUAUAAUGAAGGCAAAACUCCCCCUCAAUUUGUGCAUCCUAAUCCAAUGGCAAAACUCCCCCUCAUUUUAUGCAUCAUAAUCCAACACAACUUAACAAACAUAUGUUAGUCAAAUAUAUGAAAUAAGCACAAUCAAACAUAUGCAUGUUAAGCACAAGCAAAUUUGUCUAUAUGAUAUUUCUCCCCCUUUUUGUCAUAGCAAAAAGGCAUGAGCAUAUUAAUAAGCAAAUAAACACAAAGAGGCAUCAUUAACAAAUAUAUUCAUAAACAUUUUUCCUCCCUUUUGUUUAUGCUCUGUAUACCAAAUGUUUAAGCUCCUAUAUCAAUUGCAAUAAGAAGAAAUAUCUUUAAAUUCUCUCCCUUUUUUUGUUGUUUCAAAAGAAAGAGAGAUCAAUUCAAGGUAUAGGAUAAAAUGCUUGAUACCAAUAAUAUCAAGAGUAUUUUGAAUGCAUGUAAUCAAGUGUAAUAUGCACAAUGAAGUUCACAUACAUGUAUUCAAGCAUAAAAGCAUAAGUGUAUCCAAAUUUAGCAUUUUAGCACAAGUCAUCAAAUUUACUACAUGAAAUUUAUGAGCAAAGGAUAAUGAAUGAUAUGCAAUCUACUCAUAAAUCAUGUUAGGAUAAGAUGUGCUUAGAACCUAAAACAUCAAUAGCAAUUAAGCAUAACUUCAAGCACAUGCAUACAAGCUCAUACCAAUUGUUAUGGAUACCAAUUGUUAAAGAUAUGUAAUGAUAAAGUAUACUAAUAGUUAUCACAAAACAAAUCAAGCAAAAUUGUAUUCUAAAAUUUGUCUUCCUUUUCAAAAUAAGGAUUAAUCAAUUUAAGGCACAUACAAUUUUGCACGAAAGGUAUAAGCUAUAUCAAGGAUAGGCACAUAAAUAAGCAUCUAUGAAAGUUAAAAAAUCUUUAGCAAUUUUGAUACCAAUUGUUACCAAUUAUUAGCAAUUUUAUUCAACUUUCAUAGAACAAACAUACUUUAAGCAUAUGAAAGAUUCAUUCAAUACAUGCAUAAAUGAUAAUAGUAAUCUUUCAUAAGCUAUCCUAUCCAAACAAAAACUAAAAGCUCAUAUGUAUAUAAUAAAUCAUAAGUACUAAUGAGCAAUGAGGUUCAAUAAUCAUCAUGUUAUAACAAAAAUUAUAUAAGCAUGAUUUUCCAAACAUGAUGAGCACAUAUGCUAUAGCAAAGAAAUAAUGAAAGCAUAAUUGUUCAAUUAUAAUCCAAAUUAUUUCAAUGCAUAACAAUGUACUUAAUCUAAGCAUAUGCAAAUAAUCAAACAUAUAUUUAUUUCAAACAAAAUCACACAAGCAUAUGUAAGAACAUUUCAAACCAUGUAUAGCAAUAUACCAAAAAAAAAUGCAAACCUUUAGACACAAUAUGGUACAUGCAUCUCAAUGGACUCAAUCAAUGAACAUGUUCAAAGAAAUCAAUCUAUUUAACUCAUAUCCAUGUCCAAAGAUUCAAACGAAUAUUCAUGCAAUUAAAACUAUUAAUCAAAACAAUCAAGAACUAGGCAUGAAUAUUAAUGAAGGUGAAUUAAUCAAUCCAAGCUUUAAAAAAAAAUUAAGACAAAUUUUAUCAAGUAGCUUGGUGACUAAUUUGUGCAAUGUGUUCAUAUCUUCAACCACAAAAUCAUAUAUUUGCACAUAUUAAAGCAAGCAUGUAUAUGUAUUCAAACUCAUACAUCAUAUCAUAAAGUUGAUACAUUUACCUCCAUCCAUGUCAAGCUUUGUUGUUGUGCUCAUUUGGCUUUGAAUUUUCCAAUCCAUUUCAUUUAAGCAAAACUAGGCUUGAUUGAUGAGGAUGACAUGCUUUGCUUUCUAUACUUGAAAUUCCAAAAAUGUAGACUCAUUCAUGCUCAUUUCAAGUUCUCCUAGCAUAGACUUAGAAAAAUUUCUUGACAAAAGAUUUUCAUUAGAAGCACCAAAAAAAUCAAUUGAUAAAAAUUAUACCCAUUGUUAGAAAACAAUUCCAUAUUCUAAGUCAUUAUAGGCAAAAGAAAGUUUAUUCACUAAGCAUAAGUUACCAAUUGCAAGGGAGAUACGUACUUGAGCUAGAGGCCAUAUAUCAAUUUAAACAUCGAAUAGCACAAGAAUGGCACUAAAGUAAAAGUUCUCAUGUAAUGUGAAAAAAUCAGACCUCUUAGAUCAGUCAUAAACACAAGAUAGAUAUAUUCGAUAUUCAUAUAUAUUCAAUAAAUCACCAAAGAAUAUGCAAAAUAAAUUUUAGGCCAUAUGAAAACUAGAAACUCAAGGAAGACAUAUUUAUCAUAAAAAACAUAUUUAAGAAAAUUUUAGCACAAAAGCAUAAAUAUGUCUACACAAAUAAUAGGCCAUAAUCAUCAAUGACUUAAGCUAAAAAUAAGCAUCAUAAGAAAUUCAUUUACUUAAGUCAUGUUGCUAGCAUGUCAAGUAAAGAUAAAUAAUAUUUAACACAUAAGCACACACUUGAUAAGAAUAAUAGAUGAACUAAUAACACAUAUCAUUUAAAAUAAUAGUUCAUCAAUUUAAAAACAUAAAUCAAGAGAUAAAAUAUUUAAGCACAAAAGCAAGCAUAUCACAAAGGUAUUAAACAAUUUAAUCACUUUCAAAUCACAUAUAUUAAGGUCAAGUUGAAUCAAUCUUGACCAAAAACCUAGAUGAACAAUGAAUCGAUAUAUAUCUUUUAAGCACAUAAAGUUCAUCAAUUCAUCAACACAAGAGAAUAAAUCUUAAAUUAAUAAAGAUAAAGAAUUGAAUCAUAUUUCAAGAUUAUUUCAUAAGAAGUCAAGAGAUGAACAAUCAAACAUCAAUAUAUGUGAUUUAAGCACAAGAUGAUCAUCAAAUAUAUAUAUAUAUUUUAAAUCACAAAUCAAGAGUUAAAAUAAUUUAGAAUAUAAUACUCAAGUUUGAAUGAUUUUAACAUGAAUGACCAUGACGUUUAAAAAUUGCUCAAUUUGUUUAUAGUGCUUGGAUCUUGUGAAAUUAUUUUCAGGAUCAAACGCUUACCACUGCACCAAAAGCUAUAGCUGAUAGUAAAGGUGUAACUCUAUUUUCUUAUUCUCUUUUUGUAUCGCAAAGCCCCGUACUAAGCUACAGAUGGACAUAAGGGGCUUCACAAAGCCUUUAUGGGAUACCUCACCCAUUAUGCCUUGGUAGGUUGGGUUAUCAUACAUUGAAAUCCGAUCCAUCAUGGGAUACCUCACCCAGAUGAAUCGACAUACCGAGUCCCUAAAGGAGAUCGUUAGACCUCAUAAUCCAAUAAUCUCCCCCCAAUGGCACCUGGGGGACUCGAACCUACAACUUUGCUCUGAUACCAGUUUUCAGGAUCAAACGCUUACCACUACACCAAAGGCUAUAGCUAAUAGUGAAGGCAUAACUCUAUUUCCUUAUUCUCUUUUGAUAGCGUAGAGCCCCAUACUAAGUGAUAGGUGGACAUAAGGGGCUUCGCAAAGCCUUCAUGGGAUACCUCACCCAUUGGGUCUCGGCAGGUUGGGUUGCCAUACAUUGGAAUUUGAUCCACCAUGAGAUACCACACUUAGAUGAAUAGACAUACCGAGUCCUUAAGGGAGACCGUUGGACCCCAUAAUCCAACAGGGUACAUGAGCCUAAAUGACUUUUAUCAUACCUUAACUCUAGCCUUACAUUACAAGCUUAUUAAAAUCCUAAAUGAUCCUUGGUCAUGUGUUUAUCUACAUUUAUUAUGAUAAGCAAACUUAUGGAACAUGAGCAUAUUUUAUUAAUCAUUGUUAUUAAUAUUUCAUGUUUGUAUAACAUUAGUAGAAUUCAUGCAAGGAUAUGUGAGAGGUGUUGCUUGCUUUUGGAGCCAUAGUUAGGAAAAAUCCUAGCCUAGGUAUAUUCUUGUAUAUUAGCACUUGUUCAUGAUUUUGCUUUAGUUAUAUUCAUUCUUUAAUCUAGAAGGCAUUAGUGUUGAAUGAAGCAUAGAGGGUAUAUUAUGAUUCUUGCUCAAUCUUGUUUUGCUUGAGGAUAAGCAAAAGCUUAAGUUUGGGGUUUGAUUGCACUAAAUUUUUAGCUUUUUCAGGCUUAUUUUUAGUGUAAUUUUCAUUAUAUUUUAGCUUAUUCUUUGCAAAUUAUGGAAAAAAUAUUCCAAAAUGUACAUUUUUCUCACAUGUAGGUAAAAAUGGAGAAAAUGAGAAAUUUUGAUCAAUUUGGAUACAUUUUUGGAGGAUUUUUAGUGCAAAUUGUGCAAAUGGCCUAAAUUAGUAUCAAUAGGCAAAAUUGACUUUGAGGGGGUUUUCUUUAGUAUUAUUUUCAUAGUUUUUUUUUUAAUAAAAUGUAGGAUAAAAAUAUACAUAGAAUGUUUGGAAUAUUUUGCAAUAAAAAAUUGAAUGAAACAAAGAAAUGUUGCUUGGACGUGCAUGGUGCAUGGAUGAAGGAUCAAGCAAAUGUAAGGCAUUUUAAGCUAGGACUAAAGGCACCAAAGCUAGGGGUUGAGUUGGCAUUUUUAAAGGCUUUGAUUGGUCACCAAUUUGACUUUGUGAAAGCAGCAUUACGAUGUGAAAUCAACUUGCAAAGUGUUGAAGAAGUGCCCUAGAACCAACGUGCAAUAGCAUCAACCACCAAUGUAGCAAGUUGGAGAAGGCUAUAGAAGACUCAACCAAGGGGAGAGUUUUCUAAUUUUUUUUUAAACCUUAAGCUACUCCUUCUGCCUAUAAAUAGAGUGAGAGGGCUGGCCAUUAUGGGAGAGUUAGAUUAGGAUUUAGAUUUUUAGUUUUUUACUUUCUAGCAUUUUCUUUCUUCAUUUUUUAUUUUCUUAGCCAGCAAACAUAUUUAUUUCUA
rnacentral:lncRNA from 1 species